AGCGUUGCAGCGCGUGCCGCGGCAGGAGCGUUUUAACGGUUAAGAGGAUGAAGGCGGGAAAAGGCGCGUGAGGCGCGUCAGGUGAGCCUCACCUCAGGAGCGGCAGGACCAUGUUUCGAAGUAAGCGAAUACAGUGGUACCUUCAGUGCCGUAUAAGCUAAACAAGCUGUAGCUUCUUAGAGCCCCACUCUCUUGCCCCCCCCCAAUCACUAUUAACAUACUUAAUUGUAUUUCGGUUCAACAAUUACUUUGAUAAAAUACAUAUUUUGUUAUGUGGCAAAUGGCUUUAGAUCCCUAUUGGGUACCUAAAUUACCAUAUAGCAUAUAUUCAACACAAAAAAGCGACAAUUUGUUGUUGACAAAGGAGAGCUGGACAUAUAAAGGGCCCUAUUACUUUCAGUCAAACCUAAAUCCGGCCUCGUCAAACCUAAAUCCGGCCCUGGUAAUUUGGUUCUGAAACUUAAUCUAUUCUGGAAGUCCAUUCCAAAACCAAAGGGUUCCAAAACCAAGGCACGCUUUCCCAUAGAAAGUAAUGCAAAACAGAUUAACCUGUUCCAGACUUUUAAAAAAAACUAAAACAGAAAUUUAACAUGAAUUUUGCAAUCUAGAGACGAUUGAUCCAUAAAAUGAAAGCAAUCAACAAUAUACUGUACUAUAAAAUAAAGAUAGUAUUGUAGAUGAUUUUUUUUUUUUUUAAUUCUUACAUGCACUGAUGAUAGUCAUUGCUUGUGGGCCUUUAUCCAUUUCCACAGUCACACAAUCAGUCAGUAGCCGAACUGGGUUCCAUGCAGUGACAAAACAAAUUAACCAAAAAAGCCUCAAAAACGCAAAAUAAAUUGUAGCCUUAUGAGGCUUUGCCCUCGGGUGGGAAAAAUAUUGCGCCUGGGAAAGGGAAGUGGGAGUCAACAAACACUCAAGGAAUAGUUUCGGAGAAAAGGCUUUUAUUUCUACCAUCCAUGAACUGGUAGAAGGAGCAAGUGUGAUAUGUCACAAAAAGCAUGAAUGAAGUUCACAGUCAUGUGCACAAGCAUAUAUACCCCUUUCCAGUUCCCUCCUCCUCUCUCCUCCCUCAGGACUCCUGCCCAUGAAUUCCUCUGAGCAUGAACAGAAAGCUGUCUUGGGACUAUUGUGGACUCUUGGCACCCUUCCCAGGAAAGGGGUUUCAGCAUGUUCAGAUAGGUUUCAAUCUCUUGUUCUGGCAUGGUUCCCGGACAGAAAGCAAGUUGCAAUGUGGUUCUUUAGCAAGGCCAGAAGGCAUCAGAAAGGCCUGAGAAACAAUGGACUGUUCUCUACCUUUGUUACAGCAGAGCGGAAUGUUUCUGAUGCUUAGCUGCUGAGAAAAUAAUUUUGAAAAGCUCUGAGAAGCUUUGAGCCUGCUUUGGUGGGGGGUGACUUCGGGCCUAGGUGAGGUCACCUGUCCUCACCUUCCUUCAAAAUAGCAAAAACAAAAGCGCCAAACUUAAAUCUGUUCCAGAAGUCAGUUUGACUUCCGAAAUGUUUGAAAACCAAGGCGCAGCUUCUGAUUGGUGCGGGUGCCCCAGAAACAAUAGCUGACAACAGUAUUGGAUGUUUGGCUUCUGAAGAACAUUCAAGAACUGGAACACUUGUGGAUUUUUGGCUUUUGAGAACUAAGGCGUUUGAGAACCAAGGUACCACUGUAACUAGACAGUUACUUGGGAAGUUUUCCUUCCUUUUUUCCCCAAAGGGGGGAAAAACCCUAAAUCGUUCUUCUUCUGAGGAUUGAAGUUUGUUCAGAUUUUGUAGUGAGCAAUGGGACAAAGGAAAAACUCCUUUCUAAGCACUGGGCAAGUGGAAUAAUACAGUAAUAAUAAUAAUAAUAAUAAUUACUUGUACCUCACUCAUCUAGCCACUCUGGGCAGGUGGGCAGCUCCCAACAGAGUAUUAAAAACACGACAAAACAUUAAACAUCAGAUAUCUUCAAAAAGUCAGAUACAGUCAUACCUUGGAAGUUGAACAGAAUCCGUUCCAGAAGUCCAAACUUCCAAAACGUUUGAAAACCAGUUUCUUACAAGCUCCUAUUCCAUUUUUCUGAACAAUGAACAACCCCUCUAAGAAAAAUCCCCUACCAGUUUGUAUGAUAAUUUGCUUAAAAGUCUCAAAUUUAGACAGACCGUGGCAACCUGUCCUUUUUGUCCCAUGUAACGGAUACAUAUAUAUAUAUGUAUAUGUAUCCAUUCCCUUCUGAGAAUUGGUUGGCAGGGAUUUCUGUAUACAGUUGUACCUUGGAAGUCAAACGGAAUCUGUUCUGGAAGUCUGUUCUGUUGGCUUUUUGCAGUAUAGUAGCGCUGCAGAGAGCUUGUUGGGGAGACCAUGCAUAACCAGGAACUCAAAAAUAGCUUUAACAAAGGUUUUAAUAACAAAAACAAAAACUCCUUUUACACUAAACAACAACAAACAUCGCCCAACCACCCACCCACCCCCCAGGGUAAUGGGAGAGCUAGGUGCUGCUCCUUAUAUACUAUACCCAAUUGCUGACACAGCUUGAUUAACACAACUCAGCAGCACCUGCUGUGUUUUCUGUUAUGUACUGAGUUGAAUAGGAUCCAAACUGCAGCAGUCUGAUUGGUCCUAAAACAAUAGGAUCCAAAACGCAGCAGUCUGAUUGGUCCUAGAACAAUAGGAUUCAGAAUGCAGCAGUCUGAUUGGUCUAGUAGCAAUGAUUGGUUGGCAGGAACCACCCAAUCAUUCUCCAGAUAGAAGCGAAUCCACAACCUGAUUGGCUUACAGUAGAAUUCCGGAAUUAGCCAAUCAUGCGCAGCCCAUUGUGUAAAUAAUGUAUAUAAAGCAGAUACUUUGAGGGGACAUUCAUUCAUUCCUCCUCACCACUAUGAGGUGAAUAAAGAGCAUGAAAUCACUUUGCGACUCUGAGUAUAUUUCAGUUUCACAGCUGUAAGACUGGGUCUCGUUAUUUGCCCUGGCCCUUAAAGACAUACACAACUUGUGAAAUAAUAAUGAACCUUCACAUUUUAAAGUGACCAUUCAACAUGUUCGACUUCCAAAACGUUUGAAAACCAAAGCUCCUGCAGCCAAUCAAAAGCUGCGGAAGCCGUGGCAGAUGUUCAGGUUUCAAAAGAACGUUCAGAAACCAGAACAAUUGGGAGCCAAAACAUCUGAGUUCCAGGGCGUUCGAUAACCAAAGUACGACUGUAAUUAUUUAUUUCCUUGACGUCUGAUGGGAGGGUGUUCCACAGGGCAGGUGCCACUACAAAGAAGCCCCCUGCCUUGUUCCCUGUAACCUCACUUCUCGCAGGGAGGGAACUGCUAGAAGGCCCUUGGAGCUGGACCUCAGUGUGGACGAACCCUCCGUCACGGUAGCGUACCCUCCAACAUUUCUCUGAUGAAGAUAGGGACCUUCUCUUCUACACCAGGAAGAUUCUUUUGCCAUUCGAUCUCACCACACCCAUGUACCUCAUUUAUACAGACGCACCUGUCACCUUGAGCCAAUUAUGACCUCUCUGCUUAACCUACCUCACAAGGUUGUUGUAAACAUAAAAAUGUGUGAGGGGAUAGGAUUGUGUAAGCUGCGUUGAGUCCCUGUCAGGGGGGAAAGGAUAUAUGUAUCCUGGACUACUACUUCAUUGGACCACUGUCCCUCCCAACAAGCAAUCAAAUGCCCUGUAGCUGGUCACACCCCCACCGUCUGUUUAGAGCAUAUGAUUUCCCCCAAGGAAUCCUGGGAACUCUACUUUGUCAAGGAUGCUGGGAAUUGUGGCUCUGGGAGGAAUGAACUGCAGUUCCCAGAAUUCUUGCGGGAGAGGAAGCCCCUUGUUUUAACAUAUGGUGUUGAUGUGUUGAAAGCCAUGAUUUGGUUUUGCCGUGCUUGUGGACAAUGCUGUAUUGGGGCGGUGAAUAGUAAGUGAGACAAUUUUAGAUUUUGGCCUGUGGACAUGUGGGUAGGAGAUUGCACCUGCUUUGUGUCUCUUUCCCAGUAUUUUUAGUGUGUGACCCAAACGGGUUUCUGGUUAGACUUUCUCCUCAGUAACCAUGACCUGUAGCCAAGAAUGAACCUUGGCUACAACUCCUACUUAAGGAGGAGAAAGGCAAGCCAUGAAACCAGGUUCGGACUACAUACUAAGCCAAACCUAAGCUAAGAGGGCUAGGUUGUGGUAUGAUCUCUUCCAGCACAUUUAUGCAAUCAUGGGAAGACAUAGUCGGCUUACUGUGGUGUGCAAACCAGGCUAUUGAAAGUUUGACUGAGUGACAUACCGGUAAUCUUUUUUUAUUUGUUUGUCCUGAAACAAGCUGCUUCAAUGCAGUGCAUUUGAGGGUGGAGGUACCAUUUACAGACGAGCAAAGUACUGUUUCCACACUUACUGCUUUCAUUCCCUUAUUACAUUAUUCUAUUUACCUUUCAUGGAGCUCAGAGGGCUGGAUAAGAGCCCUUUACCACUAGCAUUGGUAAUAUCCAUGUAACUACCCUUGGGGAGCUUAGGCAAAGAGAGCGUGCACAGGAGUGACUGGACAAGGGCCCAGUGGACUUCAUGGCUGAGCAAGAUUUGAACUUGGGCCUCCUUGGUGCCAAGUACAGCAUUCUAACCUGGGCAUUAGAAGCUGAUGGGAUUUGUGGGCGAUCCUUAUUCUAACCACAGCAGCACACUAGGCCUCUGGGAGUUAGAUCCAGAUGUAGCCAUCUACUUAGAGUAGACCUAUUAAGAUCAGUGGGACUUAAGUCACCAUUUACUUAAGUAUCAUUGAUUUCAGUUGGUUUAAGCAUGGCUAUGUCUGGAUCCAAUUUUCUGAGAGCAAAUGUGGUGUAGCAGUUAGUAUGUGUAAAAUGCUAAUAAUUGAUGGGUGACCAGCUUCGAUAUCAUACUGGACCUUGCCUUGGUUUUCAAUAAGCAGGUUGCUAUAGUUUCUAGAACAACUGUCAAUUGUAUCUACUGUGCAUAUUGUUUUUCCCUUUUAGAAAAGAUAGAUGCUUUUAAAUUUCAGGGUUUGAUGAUAGUAAUAUGAGCUAUGAGCUGUCUCAGGAGCUUCAGUUAGUGCAAAAUUCUGCAAGUGUCUUCUGUUAAAUGCCAAGAGAUGGGAGUAAGUGUAGCUUUUGCUCUGUGAAGUAUGCUGAUUGUCAUUGUCCUUUGGCGCCCUGAAAAGGUGCUAGUUUUAGCAGUAUUAAUCCACACAUGGCAAGAAAUCCACAUAUUUUGUUUGCUCCCUUUACCAGUCCUUCUGUUCCCUCUAUGCAUCAAAUCAGACACUGUUUCAGUUACCAUUAAUAGAAACAAGUGGGAAUUGCAACAAAAUGUUGCAGUAUAGCUUUACUUCCUAAUAGGAGUUCUUGUGUGUUCACUGUACAAGCCAGCUAGCUAUGCCUCCUUCUAGCAUACUAAGUAUAAGCUAUUAGGGGCUUGUAGCAAGCCAAUGUCGUCACUCAGCUUUCCAUUCCAAAUGCCAUUCAGUGUUCUAUAGCUUUUGGUGAACAAUCAAACAUUCAGUAUGGUGGUUUCCUAUAUGUGCUAUAGUGGAAUUUAUUGUUUUCUUUCCUCAUGACUGGAUUCUCACUUCAUUACUACCCUGAUGCAUCUGGAUUCGGAUUCACCCAGCCAAAUUUUGCCUGGCUAUAUGUUCAGAGGCGGAUAUAGGGGAGCGCAGUGUGUUCAGUCAUACUGGGCAUGGAACUUCGGGGGCAUCCCAGAGGAUGCCGCAACUAUUAUUAGAAUGAGAGCAAGAGGAGGGGUGGGUGGGUGCAGUAUUUUGGUGUCGCACAGGGUACUGCUGAAAUUUGAGACCCGAAAAUCCGCCACUGCAAUGGGAACCAGACGAGGCUUGCAGCAAGAAUUUAUUUGUGUGGUUUUUGAAUCUGUUCUGGAUUAAUGCUGUAUUGGGCAUUGUCGUUUUCCUAAUUGUGGUAAGUCUCCGUCAGGAGUUCCAUUUUGUAAAUAUUUUAUAGGGCAGCAAGUCUGUUCAUGUGUUAGGUAUGCUGGCACCAGCGUUUCUUCACAUACAUGGCAAUAUCAUUUCUAUACUUUCUGCUUCAUUAUUGUAGUUAAAAUUUACUCUCUUAAUCCCAUUGAGGCCAAGUAGAGUAUUAAUACUAUGCCCGGUGUCAGAACUAGGCAAUUCAGAGCCCUAGGCCUAAUGAGUAGUAGAUACCAGAGGGAGAGAAGGGAGGGGAGAUAGGAGAAUAGCGGAAACGGAUGGAGUGAUUGGGGAGGGGAGCCCUCUGCAAGGGAACAGUUUAGACCUCUGGCCAAGAGCAAGCUCACCAUCUCCCAGCCUAUUUUUAAAUAGUGUUUCUUCUAACACAUAAAUUCCACAUCAUUCCUUGGUAGAAGGGAGCUGGUAUUUUCGGUUGGUUUGUUAGCCUUUCUGCUUUUGAUCUUUAAAAUUGUAUUUUAUUUGUAAAUGAAGCAUCCCCAGUAGCAUGUCUUUGUAGGAAGCUCCUAAAUUGUAGCAUCAUCAUGGAACAUGUGUUCCAAACAGUUUCCCAAUCUUGGUGAAUAUAGCUUGAUUGUAAAAUGCUAUCCUGCAUCAGAGCACUAGAGGGAACCAUUACUCCCUAUAAAACUGCCAGGUUUAUGACUUGUCUAGUGACACUGGACUGUCAGUAUUAUCUUCUUUCAGGGUUGUCUUCAUUGAGAUAACAGAACAUUUUAUCAGGAUGCUUUCUGUUAAGUCUCUGUCCUAAAUUAGAUUCAAUUUAUGUGUGCAGGAAUCCACUAAAAUGUGAUCCCCUAUCUACAUGAGUGAUGAAAGGUUGCACCAUAAUUCACUAUCCAUGUGUAUUUUCUGUGGCUGGGUUUGUAAGCAGAAUCGCAGAUUCAAGCUAAAUUUGCUUAUGUUAUGGAAUUGUUCCCAGAAAAUAGUUAUGCUAGUUCAGUCAUAGGGAUAAUCAUAAACUAUGUGUUUUGGUGUAACUUCAAAUAUUUUAUAUCAAAUAUUUGUACUGCUUGUUAACAGGGUAUAUUUUUGUAUAAAAAUACUGUUUCCUCAUAUCAAUAACUAAAAUGGAUGCAUAGGACGUAUUUUGCAGUUCAACUUUCCUCAGUAUGUGAAGCAUUUUACCACUGCAGUCAAGUCCUGGAUGGUUUUCACUUGUCCUGGCUGUUUGAAUUUAAUUUUAAUACCUUGCAGCCAAGUCACAUUUAUUCUAUCUUUCUCUGGACUGGAGUGCAUAGGUUAGAGAGUUCCCCUCUGCACUGCAGUGGUUUGAAUGAUUCCACUGAAAUUAAAGGUUACUGAAUAGCCCUGGAGCUCAGCGUUGCAGCAUAACUGAGCACAGUCUUGCCGCAGGACCUGCAGGGUUUGGUGCACAUAAUCUAUGUUUAAUGUGUGCUGCAUUUACAAGGUGCCCUGACUUCAGAUUAAAUUAUGGGCUCCCAGACCUGCCUUGCAAAUUUUCUAAGAGUUCUUUCACACAAAGAACUUUAAAGGCUGAAGUAAAAGGCCAUGUGUCUAUAAAUGAAAACAGCACACAAUUCCAGCUCCUUCAGUCUUUAGAGCCCUCUAUUGAAUAGCAGUUCUGAUCACAUGGAAUGCAAAACUAAAUCUUUGCUUGGCAUUAUAUAAAUGCAUGUUUUGGCUUUCUUUUCUUUGCGUAAUACAAUCAGGUUCAUCUGUUUUACAGAAAACCAUGAUUUGGCACUACAUGUCAUAUCAACCAAGCCACUGUCCAAGACAGCUCUGAAGGAGUUGAACCAUAUUUUGCAAGUUUGGUUUGUAGGACAGACCAUAAUCAUACUUUGUCGGCUAGGAUGUAAUUGCUACAUAUGGUUUGCUGCAAAAGAGGGCAAGAGAAGAGGCUGACAUUAUGUGUCAGCUGCAUAAUGUGGCCACAUAAUGCCAAAUGAGCUCUGUGUUUCUUCUUGCUAUGUUAGUCAAGAUUUCAGUGCAAAUAGUUAAUAGUUUAGGACGCCACAUUAUUAAAGGAUAGAAUUUACACUGCAAUAAUAGUUUUGGAAUAGACCUGUAAACAUCUUACACAGGGUGUCAUGGUCUGGUUUACGGGCAGUCGAAGUCCCGGUUGAGGAUGUUGGGACCAGGGGCAAGACGGCGGGGUGGGAGCAGGAAUGGGAGUCCGGAAGCCAAGGGUCCAAGAGUCAGAGAGCCGGGAGUCAAGAAGCCAAGGGUCUGAGGGUCAGGAAACCUGGAGCCAAGGGUCCAAGGAUCAGGAAGCAAGGAGACAAGAAGCCAAACACAGCAAGGCAGGAAGCGUGUUGCUGUGGCAAAGAGCCAAAGGGAAAUGCUGACCUUUUAUCCCUUCCCGGCUCUUGCCACCAGGUGCUGUGAGUUACCAAUUGGCCUCACCUGUGCGGCCGCUUCCCUCUUCAGAACAAACUUAGGAAAGCCCCAGUCCUGCGAAGCCCUACCAGUCACAGGGCCUGGCUCCUGUAAGCACUCCUAACACAGGGAUUAGAUGCCCAGAGUGCUCCUGUGUUCUCAGUUGCAAUAGUAUAUUUUCUGUAGCUUUUAAUGAUGAUUGGUUGAACUUAGUUUAAUAUUUUAUUGGUUUGUCUCUUUUUUGUGAGAUGUGUAUAUGUGUGUGUGUGUGUGUGUGUGUGUAUAUAUAUAUAUAUAGAUAGAUAGAUAGAUAGAUAUAGUUGUUGGCCAUCUUGAGAACUUCUGGUCGUCUCUGUCUUUACUGGAAUGGUUUUUAAAAUGUUUUUAUUGUUUUAUUGUUUGUUUGCUACUCUCAGCACCUUUGGGAGUAAGGAUUGAGCAUAAAUUUAAUAAAUUAAAUGAGAGGGAGGAUUAAGAAACAUUUUAAUAAAUAAAAUACUACAUAUUAGUGUGCCACAAAGAGUAUGAGCAGGGAAGACAUAUCAUGACAGACGAUACCUGAAGGGCAAAGCAGGAUCUAAUAUAUUAAUUUAAGAAAACUUGUUUUUUAGGGACAGAAGGGUGGCAGGCUUGAGACUUAACCUUUUCAAAUUGGUAGUUUAGUGAGAGGUCCUACUCAAAAUUUCUUGAUCAAGAGAUAUUAGUUGGCUUAUCAGGUACUGGGGGCUGUGCUGGACCCGGGGGGAGUUACCGAGAGGCGUGGUCAGAGUCCAGUCCUGGGUCAAGGGUCUGGAGACUGUCCACCAAGGGCGAAGCGGGGUCCAAAGCAAGAAGCCGGGCGUGGUCAGGAACUCCGGAAGAACAGGUCUGGGUGCUGGCAGAAACAGGUUUCCAACGAUGUUGCUCCCGCAACCUGGGACUGGGCUGACUGGCCUUUAUCUCCUCUGAGGCCAGGGGCGGUCCCGGCCCACAGGUGACCCGCCUCUCCUGGCCUUAAGGCGAGCACUCCUCCUGAGAGAACUUAGUUCCCUCCGCCUCUCGGCCCUGAGCCUCUGCAGCUCAGGAGAGGCUGGAGGGUUACUGGACCCAGGGGUAGCUUCACCUUCCCCUGACAGGGCUGGGAGAGGCGCACCUGCAGGCAAUGGGUCCUCAGUCACCUCCGGAGCCAGAGUGGAUACAUCUGGUGUCUGCUCCUGAGGACCCGGCACAGGUGCAGGCCCUUCAGAUUCAAGCCCCUGCCCCGGCUCAGCCGGCCCUGGAGGUGGGGACUCCUGUGCAGGCUGGGAUUCCUCAGGUUCAGCUUCUGAAUCAGAUUCCCAGGCCAUCACAGGGGCCUAUUAUCUGCCUUCUGUGAAGGAUGUUGAUGACAAAAUCUGUUGCAAGCCCUUCUGGCAAAAAUCCAGAGUUACAGUGAGCAAGAUAAUAGCUCCUUUUAGUGAUUAUGGAUGUGAUUUUGGUAGGGUUUAGUUCCCACAUGGCAGUGCUGCUCAUCUUGAGUGCAGCUCAUCUCAAAAGUCGUUAACAUUUACAUAUUUCAGUAUGUAAUUUUCCAAAUUAUUACAAAUCAAACCAAAUUACUUUGAUACAAUUUCUUAAAAUCAGGUUUCCCACUCCUAUCGCAAACAUAUGUCGAUCAUUUCCUCUGGUAGCUGCAUCAUCUCUUAAUUAAUGUCCAAUUGACACCUUCACUUGCCGUUAGUCCAUUCUUGCAGCUGACCACAUUUUUUUCCUCCUUACAAACAGCACCUCUAUUACAUCUUAUAAAUAUAAAAUCCAUUUCACAUGUGUAGUCCUUCAUAUACAUUGUUUUUUCAGACCUGGUGUGCUGGGAGCAUUAAUUACUAUCUUCCAUUGUUGAGUUCUUUGCAGUAGUUAUCUGGAUGGGACAAGGUCACAUUCCAUUCCUUCCAUUCUUUACCAACUAGCGUAUAAGCUGCAGCCAUAAAUAACUCACAGAGUACAUGCCCAGUCUCUGCCAUUAAAAUUCCACUCUGGAGUUUAUCCUCAGCACACAGUUAAAAACAAAAUCUUUUCUCAAAUUCAGCCUCUUGCCAGAUCUAUUCGGGAGCUGUUCAUUCUUCUUGCUCUGUAUUGUUCCCUCACACUCGUGAUCCAAUCCAAAGAUAAUUUUAAAUAAAGUCCAUUCAACCUCGGUCGAGGGGGAAGGGCAUAAUAAAAGCUUGUUAAAUUCCUUGUUGAGCAUAAAUCAAAAGCCGCCUCUUUUCCACGUUAACAGCCACAGCUACACAAGUCUCUUUCAUUUUACAGGGGAGGACAAGAAAAAAGUAGGCCAUUUGAAAACCAUAUGAAAGCACCAAGCACCUUUGUCCUCCCCCUUCCUUUCCCCGCUGUUGUAAGGAUUCUCAAGCUUCAGAAAAAAAGAUUCAAAUACUGUCAAAGGGCAAAACCUAGUCCUUUCGGCAGCUGAUUAAUUGCAGCCCAUUGUCAUAUGUUGGUCUAGAAGUGCCUCUUGAUUAACGCCAAUAUUCCAGAUUAAGGAGGAACCAACCAUAAAUCAUGCCAGAGAUGGAGGCUCGUCCAUGGUAGGGACACACUCACAGGUUGCACCUUUUCUGCCUUUCAAGUUUGCAGACACAGGCUUGAGCAGCACAGUGGGAUGCAGUGAGCUCCCCAGACCCCACUGGAGAACAUUUCCAGGAUUUUUGCCUCAUAACCUGCCUGAACCUCCCCACUGUCUGCAGAGGGCAGCGGGCGGCAAUCACCAUUGACUCGUGACAUAGCCGGGAACCCCAUAUUGCUUCUUUCUAUACUGCCUCAUCAGUUGCUCCCACUUCCUUAUUACAGUGGUACCUCUGGUUGCGAACGGGAUCCGUUCCGGAGGCCCGCUCGCAACAUGAAAAGAGCACAACCCGCAGUGGCGCGUCUGUACACAUGCGGGUUGCGAUUUGCCACUUCUGUGCAUGUGCAUGAUGUCAUUUUGCGCUUCUGCGCAUGCGCGAGUGGCGAAACCUGGAAGUAACCCUUUCCGGUACUUCUGGGUCGCCGCUGGAUGUAACCUGAAAGAAUGUAACAUGAAGCGGAUGUAACAUGAGGUAUGACUGUAUUCUCCCCAUCACUUUCCCCUUUAUUCAUGACAGAAGAACCUCAUUGACUUGUGGUCAGCAGGUACCAUAUUUUUUCAUAGCUCUGCUCCUGCUGAAGCAGGCUCACUGGAUUUUGCCAGCAAUUAUCCUUCCUUUCAGUGCCUCACAUAUCUUCCUCCUAUCAUUGUGGUUAUGAAGGCAUUCUGCAGAUUCUGAAAGACAGAAUCUGUGUUGCAAAUUGAGGGGCAGAGUGCUGCCAGGAACUGCAAAAGGUUUUUGGGUAGUGGGGAGAAGGGAUCGUGUUUGUGGGUUUAGAACAGUGGUUGGUAAGGAAGGACUGGUUAGAGGUAUAAACAGUCUCAAUUUCUAAAAUAUUUUUGAGCUCAGCAAGUUCCUGGUCUAACAAAUAGUACUAUGAUUGUGUGUUUCAAACUUGGGCAACACAGAAACAGUUCUUUAUAAUAAAACAGUAUUGAACUGGCUGAUAGAUCAAGUUAAGCAGUGCUACAGUUCAUCAGCUCCCAUUUAGGUGUCAUAUGAUCUAUUCCAAGGUUUUCCCUGGAAGGCUUUUGCCUUGUUUUUAAUUGCCAUGUCUAUGGUCCUCUGGGAGAGAAUAGGGAAAGAACUGUCCUGAUUGCAACUUGAAUAGUUUGUAUAAUAAUAAACUUAUGUUAAACUUGGAUAGACUCUCAGAGACUUCCUCCUGGUGGAGGCCAGAGUCUCUCAGCAAUCACUUUGUUGGCAGACAGCUCAUUUGAAGAGCAUCUGUUUCAAAUUUAUCGUUCUCUGUUGUCAUACUUAAGUAUAACAGAUUCUGGUUCUUGCUUCUCUUCUCUGCAGACCCUUUUACCAACUGCAGCCCCAGCUGAGCCUUCUCCCAGAGGUCUCAGUAACACCUUAGGCCAGCCUGCCCCAACGGACAGAAGAGCAGGUGCUAAGCGGGCUAUAGAUAGUGGAGUAAUUCUCUUCCACAUCCCAGAACACACACAUGGGCAUGCAGGGUGCCACACACAGCUUUCCUAUUACAUAGCCUCUCAUUAGCUUGAUGUGUGGGGGGUUAUUGUAAUGAGGGGAUCUGUGGUGUCUGUAACAAAAGAUCUCAGUAGUAAUAAUGAUAAUAUUGGAGCUGGGUGGACUGUGAUGAGCCAAACUCACACACUGACACUGCCAUUACUACAACAGAAGUGUUCUGUAGAAAAACUUUACAUUUUCUCAGUUUUUCAUGCAUUGAACUGUGUCCCUCUGAAACUUCCUAAGGUUUUGCCAUAUUUCUCUCUCACCAUUUCUUAGAUCAGUGCAAAAUCUCAAAUGAAUCUAGAAAACCUUGCCUGUGCUUGACAAACAAAAAGUUUACUUAUAUGUAACAAAAUAUGGUAAGCACUUAAAUGUAUUACCCCAAUGCAAAUUAUGAUCACUUUAGCUUGUGAUCAGAUCUUUAUAAUUGCUGGUAGAAGGAGAUGGCAGAAGAUUACUCCUGAGAACUAAGAAUUGUUGAGGCAGGUUCGGUGAGAAAUGGAGAAUCUCUGAUUAAUAUAUCCUCUGAAAGCAAGCAAGGUGAUUUUGUACCAGUGUAGAGAUGUUGAGGGGUAGGGAAAGGGACAUAAAACUAAACUGGGCAGGCGGAAUGCAAUAGAGUAUUUUGAAAGAGGUCGUGGCUGGGUACCUUGAAAGGGGAGGGGGGAUAUUUAUUUAUUUAUUUAUGCAAAUCCCAUCUCCCUUUCUAAUCAAAUCAUGCAGACAAUUCCUCCUACUGAUCUACAUUUGGAUGUAGGAAUGCAUGGAACAGAUCAUAUGCUCAGAAUGUCUUCAUAAAAAUAAGAAGUUUCAAAAUCAGAAAUAUAACUGGCCAGGGGAUGGAGAAGUAUUUGCAUAUUUUAACUUUUUACACCUGAGACAGAACAGCUACAAUCUUGCAUAGUAAUUGCUCUGAAAUGCAGGCAUCCUUUGACCGCAGUGCUAAUUUGUUGCAGUAUAUGGAGUUUGCAGACAGGGAAGACUGCAGCCUUCCUCAGUUCCUACUUACCAUUUAUAGCUUUAACCCACUUCUCAAGAAAAUAGAAGAAAUCUGGGAGCAGCUCAUUUUGAAAGAUACAGUGCAAUCCAAUACAUGUCUGCCCACAAGUAAGUUUCAUUGAGUUCAGUAGCGCUUACUUCCAAGUAAGUGUGUAUAGGAUUGCAGCCUAAAACAGUAUUUUCUGCUAUUUUGCUCUUUUCUGAAGGAGAGCUAGCUUGGCUGCGUGCCCACCUGCCUGCUGGCCUAUUGAUCCCCUCAAUGAGGGAUUUGUAUGCAUUUGAUUGCAUAUUUUUCUGCUUCUGGUAACCUUGUGCCUACCUUGUCCACUGCCAGGGAAACCCUGUGAAAAGAAGAUUUAUUGAGAAAUUCAAAGUAGUGCUAUAUAAAAAUAGAAGCUAGCAGCUCUUAGCUUCUCUUUCUUGCCCUUUCUAGUUUAAAGCAUUCAGAAGUGAAAUAUCUGAAUGCAGCAUAGGCCAAGGGGGACCUCAAAUUAAGUUUCCUUCCUUUUUUUCAGAGAGUGGUGGAGGGAAGGCCCACACAUUUUGUGAGGGUUUAUCUGAUUUUUACUACUGAUUUACAGCAAGCUGGGGCCAAAGUACACAUGAUGUGGGAUAUCUAUUUUCAGACCUCCAAAUACUUUUUUUAAAAAAAGCAAAGCUUAAAAGUAACUGGGUAUGGCUUGGGGCCACAGGACUGAGAAUGUGUAGUCUUUGCCUCCCUUACUUAUUUCUCCAAGUAAGUAAUAAAUAAAAAUAUAUUGCCCAAUAUCACCCUUUGAGAUUGCUAUAAUGGUCUUGCUGGGUAAAAAAGACAGAAACAACAAAGGUAUAUUUUCUUCCCUGUGGAGUGUGUAAUUAAAAAAAUAGCACAGACUGACAGCACCACUACCUUAAUCCAGUUUGUUCAUAUGGUUGCUUUUAAGUUUUUUAAAAGCAACCUUUCUGGUUUUGAGCCUGGAGAGCAGCUUGGUGCAUAAUCCAUGAAAUUUAGGAAACUAUUUCCUUCAUACCACUUCAUGGUUGUAGAAUGUCUUGCCAGAGCCUAUGGAACAAAUGUAUUUAUUGUAAGGGAAGGGCAGGAGGGGUGCAUUCAUAAACCAGGCUCUGGUGUCUUGAUGUCCUGUACCAGUUGGUCCCUUACCUUUCCUGCCCUGACCUGGCCACAGUGAUCCAUGCGACGGUCACCUCCAGGCUUGACUACUGUAAUUCGCUCUACGCGGGACUGCCCUUGAAGCUGUCCCAGAAACUUCAGCGGGCGCAGAAUGCUGCAGCGAGGCUCCUCACGGGGUCUCUGCCAUGGGAGCAUAUUCACCCAGUGCUUUUCCAGCUGCACUGGCUCCCGGUGGAGUACAAGGUCAGAUUUAAGGUGCUGCUUUUGACCUUUAAAGCCCUUCACGGCCUAGGACCCUUGUACCUACGGGAUCACCUCUCCCAGUAUGCCCCACGGAGAGCCUCAAGGCCCAUAAAUAGCAACACCCUAGUGGUCCCGGGCCCUAAAGAAGUUAGAUUAGCUUUAACCAGAGCCAGGGCCUUUUCAACUCUGGCUCCGGCCUGGUGGAACGCUCUGCCUCAUGAGACCAGGGCCCUGCAGGAUCUGAUUUCUUUCCGCAGCGCCUGUAAGACAGAGUUGUUCCGCCUGGCCUUUGGUUUGGAGCCAAUUUGAUUCCCUCCCUCUCUUUCUUUUUUCUUUUCCUUUCUCCUCCUGCGAUGAGGCUACAUUUUAAUAUUUUUAUGUUUCAAUAUUUUAAUGUUGUAUUUUAAUUUUGCUUUUAAGUUGUAAUCAUUCAACUUGUUUUUAUUAUUGCUUGUUAGCUGCCCUGAGCCCGGCCUUGGCUGGGGAGGGCGGGGUAUAAAUAAAAAUUAUUAUUAUUAUUAUUAUUAUUAUUAUUAUUAUUAUAUUACCACUGGUGCCUUGCCAAAUAUGGGGAUCAAGGGCACCAUCUAGGCUGCAGUACCCGUCAGCCUGAAUACAGUAGACUAAUUUGGAACAGCCAUUUAUUACAAAACUUGGGCCUCAGAAGCUGCUUUUUAGUCUGAGCAAUUUUCCAGGCCAGUGGGAAUAGCAGUGCAGAUGGCUCCUUGGGUCCUGAUUUGUGUACUUUUGAACUGGUCCUGACCAUAUCCCUCCUGUGCUGAAAAUCAGCUUACCUGUAUCUUUGCACCAAACACCUGGAGCAGACUCCUGAGGCCCAACAGUAUAUUUAGAAAAUAUUACAUAAAUACAAAAGAGUAACAUAAAAAAUUUUCUGUGUAAUUUUCUUUCUGGUGGAAAUCCCUGCCACAUUUAUUGGACUGAAGAAGAUUUCCAUGACCACAUUUGAAGAAUGUACUAAGUUGCUAUAAAACAUAGUUACCAUCCUAGUUUCAGAAAAUGUAAAAUUCUUACAUCACAUCUACACCAUACAUUUAAAGCACAUUACUUUUGUAAAAGAAUCCUGGGAACUGUAGUGUACCCCUUACAGAGCUACAGUUCUCAGCCUCUUUAAUUGCAAUUCCCAGGAUUAUAUGGGAUAAGCCAUGUGCUUUAAAUGUAUGGUGUGGGUGUGUGACCUUACAUAGUUUUGAACUUUAUUCAAGUUCAAAUUUAGAAUUUCAGACAGUUUAGUCUGGAGAAGAUUAUGAAUCUCAAGAGCUUGCACACUCUUUAACUUAGUGGUGGGAACCUAUGACUCUGCAGCAUAUAUAGUUGGACUACAAUCCCAUCAUUUCUGACCAUUGGCCUUGCUGCCUUGGACUGAUGGGAGCUUGAGUCCUACAACAUUUGCAGGGCCGCAGGUUCCCCACCUCUGCCUUAAGUUGAACAGAGGUUAUCCGUCACUUUUAACACCCCUUACCACAAAUAAAUAAGCAUCUAUUCCUAUUAGUGACUCCUUGCAAUCUGGAAAAGCAGUAAUUGCAUAUCAUUAAUUGUGUUUGUGUUAAUACAGACCUCAGCAGUCAGGGCUGAUAUAAUAGCUGUUGUCAAAAAUGAAUUGGUACCAUCUGGCUUUGUUGGGUUGCUAUUGGGUUCUGCCGCUUUGUACUGAAGUGAGGUCUCCAAAAUGCACUGAAUGAGAAUAGAUGAAACAACUAAUUGACUCUCUUUUCUCUGUCAUCUUGGGUACUUCAGAGCUAUGAAAACGCACAUGUACUUGUCAAGUGGACACAAAAAAGAGGUCAAGAUGUCUAUUUUACUCUGGCCAGGUCAUGACCUGAGGCUCUGUGGCCAGUGUCUCCAAAUCCCUGUAAGGCAGUGGGCCAGUAGUGAGCCUGUGUGUGUAAGAAACCCUCCCACUGAGAAUGUAAUUAAAGCAGCUUGGAAACAGAGGGGGAAACUCUGCAUUCUCUAGGGCUCAUUUUAUUCCAGCUUUGAUUAAUGAGGUUGGGUGGAGUUAAUGAACAGGGAGUUUAAAAGAGUGAGCAGCCCAAGCUGAUACAUCUCCUUUCUCUUGGGAACUUGCUAAGGGUUAUGGGCAGCAACAAUGAUCCAGCAAUGGGGGUUUGGGGGAUCAGGUGCUGUCCCUCUCUGCUUAGAUCAUUUAUGCAGAGAAUUAUCUCCAAUGGUAUUUUUGCUGCUCCUCUGUGCAGGGCACAACUGACUAACCUCUUCAAUUUUGUAGCUUGAAGAGCCAGUGGGAGCUCCUUGAGCAGAUCAGGCCAUCAUGAAGCAGUUAACUUUAGUCUUGAUUCCCUUAGGAGUUGCAUUGUCUGGGCAUAAAACUGCCCUUUUCCCUUGUGUAGUUAAAGAAUGUCAGAAGUCCUUUUUAACUGAAACCAUCAAAGAGUAGCCCACGGGAAGACCUGCCUAAUCUAUCACUGCAGGUCUUUCUCACCUCUAAUAGCAAAGAAGAAGAAAUAGAUACUGCUCUGAACUAAGGAAUAUCUCCAUAGGUCUAGGGAGCAAUUAUUCAGUACAUGAUGUGGAACAAAAUAGUACCAUAGUUAAAACACUACUGUGAAUCUUUGGGGCUAAUUCCCAUUUUCAUCUAGCAAAUUAUCAAAUAUUUUCCUUUUUACUUUAUUACUGAUCAAUAACUUUCGUUAGAAUCCUAAUAUCCAUUAAAACACAAUACAUUUCUUCCUGAAAACGCAUACUUUCUGUGUACCUCUCUAAUCUUACAUUCUGUCUCCCUUUUUCUUUGUUGAGCUAUGUGUCUGCACUUUUGUCCCAAUAAUAUUCAUAGACAUAUUCUGCGAUGCACAAUUUAGUACCCUUUGCAGAAGCAAGUUUAUGGUCUCAAUGAUUGCAAACAAAUAUCUGAAAAUGUGGGCAGUUCUGCUAAAGAUGUUGAUACCUGAAAACUACCAUUGAUCAAAAUCUUUUGAAUUCACUACAGCUCUUACUCAUUUUCUAUUUCUUAUUCCUUCCCUUUAAUUAGCAUUGAAGUAAAACAACAAGAAAAACAAGCCCAGCUGUGGACCCAGAACUUCCAGGAAGGUAGCCCCAUUCUAAAGGGCCCAAUAAAUGUUACUGUGGCUGUUUUUGGGGUGGAAAUUAUAUUUAAAGAGGUCUGCUAUUGGCAAUGGUGCACCACCAGGCAUGUGUUCAGUAUCACCACUGGGGAUAAUAUAUUCUUUAAGUUGUUUGCCCUGGUACCUGAGAGAAAUAGGAACUGAGGGGAAAGAGAAAACCUCUAGGGUAAGAGACUAGUUUGCUGAAAGAGUUGACUACUUGCAUGAACCAAACAAGUGAAAAUGUUCAUUGGGUUGUCUGGAAGGCCCAGUUUAACAUCUGAUUCACAUUUUAGCAAUUCUUGUGAUGAUGUCAUGAUUGCUAUAUUAUAACAUAAUAUAACAUAUCAGUCAGUUUUCUUGUUGCUGGCACUAGAGUUCUUUAUAAAUGAUUUUGUUGCACAAGAUGGCAAGUAGCAAUUCACAAUCAUUGAAGGCCACAUUUGCUCUUUGCAUGAAGAUGGCAGCAUGUCCUCCAGGUGCAGAAAUGCCUCUUAAAUCUGAAUGCUGGUCCCCUCUUUUCUUCCCAGUAUAUAACACCAGUGUCUCACAACAAAUGUAACUGAAGAACCUGAAGAAAGAGACAAUGCAUGUGCUUUUGACAACAAGGGGAAAUUAUAAUUUUUUUAAAGAAGAAAAGGAGUAUGUGGCAGUUCCCAGUAUUUAUAGAGCCCCACCCCUAUUACAUCAUUAGAAUCGGAACAUAAACCUAUGAAAUUAGAAAAGAGUGAAAAAUAUCAAUGUUUCGUCCAGAUCCUAGGUACUGCACCCUCGCUAAAGGAGCCUGUAUGGAUGAUUCACUAAAUGAUUGUAGGAUGAUGUGUGUACCUGAGCUUAUGCCCCCAAAUUCUCUUUAUCUUACAUGCUGCUUUAUUACAAAAAUGACGACUAGACUACUGAUCCUAAACUGAAUAGUUAGGUGCCCAACCACCCACUCCAGAACCCAUUGCUCUCAACUGACUCUCAACUGACUCGCAUUCAAACCUUUCAAAUCCUCAUCCAAUCAUCACUCACCACCAGGAUUCCACAAUCUCUCUUUCCCCCCUCCCUCCUUAACAUUCCCAUAAUAAUUCUGAUACAAUUACCUUGUAAUACAAUGUAAUAGAGUUAUUAUUACAUUCAAUAUUUUAUACACACUGCUCCCUGUAACCAUACUGUUACUGCAGGUUCUCCAUCCCUGUUUUAAAAACCAGAUGUCUUCUUCCAGAUGAUCCUGGGAAUUGUAGUUUGUUCGAGAUUCUGGGAAUUGUAGGUCUGAGAGGGAAGCCACAAUGGCACGAAUCAUUUUGGGGGAAGUCAUGUGCUUUACAGAUGCCUUGGAUGCUCUUUAAAACAUACCAUCAUAGAAUUGUAGAGUUAGAAAAGGACCCCGAGGGUCAACUAGAUGAUUCAUGGCCGAUGGACAUCCAAGCACUGCUUAAAAACCUUAAAGGAAGGAGAGUCACUGCUUCAGGGCCUAAAGGCCUCUGGAACAGGAGAAAGCAAGCUUGCUCCACCCUCCAUGUAACAGCCCUUUAUACUUUAGUUAUUGAAAGGUAUGCAUAGUGUGGAUCUCAUAUCCGUGUUAUGAGAGUGUAAGCGACACAUUUCUCUCUACCUUUUCUCCACACCAGUGGUCUCCAAGCUUUCCUUGCCUCGGGCUGGUUUCUCGAGCAACGAUCGCACAGAGGGCAGGGGAGCGUGCGCCCGUACACACACGCACACGCUAUUUCUGGUGCACUUCCGGGUUGGAGGAGCACCGGAAAUAGCUUGUGCGCAUGCGCACUGGCCUCAUCCGACCCAGAUGUGCACUAGAAAACGUCCCCGUGCUGUGCUGCGCAGCUAAGAGCGGGUGGCCGUGGGCAGCAGCAGGGGGCGCCGCGGGCCGGAUAAAGGCGUCCCUCAGGCCUUAACUGGCCCCCGGGCCGUAGGUUGGUGACCCCCACUCCACACCAUGCAGAAUUGCAAUGGUAACCAGAAGGCUGGAGUUUGGAACCCAGCCAGGGCUGGCUCUGGGCAGGAUCCUUGCAUUGCCGGGGGUUGGACUAGAUGACCCUUGGGAUCCCUUCCAACCAUGCCAUAUUAUGAUUAUAUCAAGCAGCUAAAGGAACAAAAAGAUGCUUCUGAAACAUUUGGGAAUCAUAGGAACACUCACCCCACCAGUGGCUUCCACCAAGAGCUUGCAUCUUCCUUAGGAGAGAGGCAUGCCAGAACAAGGACGGAAAGGCUCAGAGUUCAGGUAGGUAGAAAUGCCAGUUGAGUGCCCUAUACUAUCAGAAUGCUUCCUUCCCAUGUCUCCCACCCUCAUGUGCCAGACUGCUGCUAGCAUGGCUGGGAGCCAGGCGCGUGCUGAUUGCUCCAUUUUCUUUGCAGCGAGGGAGCCUUUCCCCAACAUAUACUUGGUUCUGGCCAAAUCCCUGGAGAGACGUGAUGACCCUCAGGUAUUGGGGCAGAGGGAAGGAAGGGGUCCUUGUGAAACACAUUUGUGAGUCUGUGGCUUCCAGCAAGUGCUUUUCAGAAGCACUGCUCCCUCCAACAGGGGAGGCAGAGGAUAGCCAUCACGGCUAGUUGCGUUUGUUGGUUAUAGAUGCUUUAAAAGUAGGCACAAUUGUAUCAUGACAAAUUGUGUGUAGCUUAAGCCUUUAGAAAAGCUGUAGCUAUUCAAAUGGCCUAUCAUGACAAAGUUUAGCUGCUAACAUCCCUCUGAGGAAGUGGCGUAACAAAUGGAGGCUCUCAUAGUGAAGGAGGAAUCAAAUCCUUACUAUAUUUAAGUCAGUGCAAUUGACUAAUUCCAGGAACAAGUUUCAGGAAAAACAUGUAAGAAGGAAUAAUACUGCAAAUCCAAAGGAAUGGGAACAUCUGAACUCUUGGUAAUCAUCCAUUCCUUCAAAGCGUUUUUGCCCUGUUCUUCAGCCAAAAAAGGCUUCCAGAGUUGCUUACAAAUGCCAAUGGUAAGACAGUCAAUUCCAUGAAAUUUGCAAUCUAAAAUACAUAAACUGGGUUGGGAGGGAGGAAAAGAGCAUAUUUAGGCACUAGGUAUUUUAACAAGUUCUUUUUAUGAUCAGUGGGAAUGGAAUGAAUUGCAAGGUAGGAGCCAAAGGUUUCUGGUAUUCCCUCAAAGUCUAUGGGUCCUGCAGUCUUAACUCUCCCUUUGCUAUAGUCUGAUGGAAUGGCUGCAGAUUGAUGACACUUUAGCAGGGAGCCUGAUGGAGCUGGUGUUUCAACAGAGUUUAUGGAGAGGACUUGCAGUCCUUCUGAUGAAAUGGCUGCUUGUAUAUGUCAUCUAAUUUAGCUCCAGAAGCAAUAGCCUUUAAAUAGGAUGCCUUUGUAAAAAGAAUUACAGUAUGAGCAGGAAAGGCAAACAAACUAAAACAGAUAUUUGCAAGGCUCAGAUUAAAUCUGAACUUUUCAAGGCGGCCAGGAAUGCCACAUGGAUCACAAAAAGUGCCAGUGUGCUGUAGAGGUUACAGUGUUGGACUAAGACCCUAGAGAUUGCGGUUCUAGUAACCAUUUAGCCAUGACAGUGUUUUGAAGCUGUACUACAGAAAGCAAAGACAGCUGUAUUGCAUAUGUACACUUAGUUCAGAACUAAACAAGUUGGAAAAUGUGAGAGCUGGCUACUUUGUGUGUGUGUGCUGAAAUAUAAAAUGACUAUUUUUUGAAUGCUGCGCUGAUUUGCUCCAUUUUACUCGAGAAUUAGGGUGGAAUGGAAGAGUAUCAUUUGUAAGGUAUUAAUGUCUUUGAAAAGGAAAAGCUGGUGCUAAGUCUCUACUAACUGCUUUUUAGCCCCUGGUAAUUGUGCUUCAUGGUUGGAAAAGCUCUGUGUUUGUUCUUGCCUGCUUAAUUUCAGUUGCCUUUGUUAUGGGUAUUCCACUCCUCACAUUAACCAAAAUGCUUUAAUUACAAAGCCAUUUGUACCAAUGUUGGUUAAACAAAUCAGUGUUUGGAGAAAGCAGGAUUCUGCCUGCAGAACUAAUUUCCUCAGCUGGGUGGGAAAGGUUUGAGGGGGGAAAUCCCCCAAAAAGUAAUGUGGAGAUCUAAGCAAUCACAGCUGUCAGGACUCCAGGACGGGAGCAAUCAGAUACGUAAUUAUACUAUUCUAAUUACAGGGAUUACAGAGAUCGUGGCAUUACAAAUUGCAUGAGCUGCAGGCAUUAGAAUACAUUAAAUGCUUACUUGAAAGCAAAGCAGGUGACUAAGCCAAGGAUGCCCUGCUCUUUGUGAAGAAUAAGACUUUGUGUGGAAUUGAUGACACAUUCCCCUAUUAUCUAGAUUGAAUUUGGUGUGGAAUUCAGAUUCAAAUGUUUCAGUGAAAAAGAGAGAAAAGUUGGACGUUAAAAAAGAUUUCUAAGAUAGACUUUGAAACCUGAGGAACCAGAAGAAGGGCUGGACAGGAUUUCAGGGGGCUGGAGGUUAGAGCUUCAGAAGAUGGCUAUUGAGCUCAUAUACUGUACGUGGACUUCUCAUACGCCUCUGGCCACUGUUGAAACCGGAUGCUGGAUAGGCCUUUGUUCUGAUUCAGCAGAUUUCUUAAUGUUCCUUAUCUCUAAAGCAAAAAAAUAAAUGCAAGUACAGUGGUACCUUGGGUUACAUACGCUUCAGGUUACAUACACUUCAGGUUACAGACUACGCUAACCCAGAAAUAGUACUUUGCUUCAGGAUGAGAACAGAAAUCGUGCAGCAGCGACGCAGCUGCAGCGGGAGGUCCCAUUAGCUAAAGUGGUGCUUCAGGUUGAGAACAGUUUCAGGUUAAGAACGGACCUUCGGAACGAAUUAAGUACUUAACCAGAGGUACCACUGGUUUUUGCUCAAUAUUUGCAGGUAGCGUUAUUUUUCUACAUAUGGUGUAAAAUACGUUUUGAUGAUACUGUAUGUGUAGCCUUAAUGAUACUGAGGUAGAGAAAAAUGAAUGAAGCUGUAGGUGUAGGCCAACACUAAUAACAGGCCAGCAUAACCUUACAGCAGGGUGGCAGCGUUAGCUCUGUUGCAGCAAUAGCAUAGAAUCAUUGAAUUUUAGAGGUGGAAGAGGGACUAUGAGAGUCAUCUAGUUCACCCCACCCCACCCUGCUAUGCAGGAAUCUUUUUGCCCAACUUGGGACACAAACCCACUACCCUGAGAGUAAAAGUUUUAUGCGUUUACCAAUUAGGUUAUCCUGCCUUGGUGUCUGUUCAUUUCAUUGGGUUUCCUUAGAGCAGGGCUAGCAUUUGAAAAAAUGUGGUUUUGUGCAAUAUGGAAGUGAAGCAGACCUUUCCCAAUUCCCCAGCUCUUUGAUCUCAUUUCUUACUGAUAAGCAUAACCAAUAAAACAUGAAAUUUAAAGAAAUCACAAAAUCUUGUACAUGCACUUUGCUGUUCAUGUUACACAGAGCACUUGAGAUUUAAAACGUCUGUAUAAAAUUUGUGUUAUUCAUAACAAUUCAAGGGAGAGCAUAAGCAGAUCUGCUACCUUGCAUUAAAUUCUUAGUGUUUGCGAGAGAAAGACUGCACCCCAUAGAACUUCAGCCAACUUAGAACACACAGCUGUGAUUGAGGAAACUGACCACUAUAAACUAUUAUUAACCAGUGGUGUGCCUGAUAAAGCAAGUGGUUGACCUUCCUCUGUAAUACUGUUAUUAUUGGAAGAAUAGAAACAAAUUCAUUGUUUUGUACCUUCUUACCACAUCUAAAUAAACAGUGUCAUGAAAAGAAAGGAAAGAAAAUGUACAGAAGUAGAGGUUAGUCAGUGUGAUUUAGUGGUGUAAUGGUUAGAGCAGGGGCCAGCAAACUUUUUCAGCAGGGGGCUGGUCCACUGUCCCUCAGAUCUUUUGGGAGGCUGGACUAUAUAUAUUUUUUGUGGGGGGGAAUGAACGAAUUCCUUUGCCCCACAAAUAACCCAGAGAUGCAUUUUAAAUAAAAGGACACAUUCUACUCAUAUAAAAACACGCUGAUUCCCGGACCGUCCGCGGGCCGGAUUGAGAAGGCGAUUAGGGCGGAUCCAGCCCCCAGGCCUUAGCUUGCCUACCCAUGGGUUAGUGUUGGAGACAGGAAUUCAGAUCACUGCUCAGCCAGUCAUAGUGUCUCAGCCUAACCUACCUCACAGGGUUGUUGUUAGGAUAAAAUGAGGAGGGGGGAAACCAAGUACACCACCUUGAGCUCUGAAGGAAAGGUGGGAUAUAAAUGCAAUAGACAGAUGGUCUUAUAAUCAUUGCUCUUCUGUCACACAGUUCUUACCUUUGAACCCAGAUUUUCCAUUUAUAUUGCCAAUGGUGAUGUUGCGAUCUGGGAUUAACAACAUCACAUUUUUUGUCUACUAUUUUAAUGCCAUUCUUUUUCAAAGCUGAGGAAAUGUUUCAGGGAACAAGAAGCAAACUCAGGUGGAGUGAGAAUGGGUUGCAGAAUAUGUUUGGAAAUUGAGAGUCCCAUGGUGUCCUUAAUGCAUUAAGUUGAAUAGGUGUCCCAGCAAAAUGCAUUUAACCCUGGAAGAUUUCUGAAAGCCACCUCUCCUCCCAUUUGUGAUGAGUGCUUGUUUGCCUUUCGCACUUGUCAGUUCCCCAAGCAGCCCUAGAAAUGAUGAGUAGCAAACUCAUUACCCCAAAAUACAAUUUGCAAUUCUAAUACAGAUGUUAUCCAAAGGUGCCUCUUGCGCUUUUAUAGAUCUCACCACUGUAACCCCCAGCAGGAGACAUUCCAUGUUUCACAAUUGAUUUGCUUCCUUUUGCUAUAGCCGUAUUGGUUCAUUGGAUGUAAUACACAUAGUUUUAUCUCUAUCAUAUGAUGAAUGUACAUAUCAGGCACAUCAAGUUAAAACACAUUAAAAUGUGCGCCAUUAAUCUGCAGGCUUCAUGGUUUUUUCGUUUUUUUAAUAAAAAAAAUCUGAGUGCAUGUUAUCCUUGAUCCAGUUGUGCAUUUUAAAACUAGAAACAUUCUUAUGUGUAAUGCUUGCAUGCUGAUCUGAUCUGAAACUGAGAAAUUGAAAGAUGAGGAUGGUCACCAUGAUUGCAAAGUAGAAUGAGACACAAAAUAGCCAGUGGAAUUCUAUAAUUCUCUUCCUACAUGUUAUCUAGCCUCUCUCUAGCAAAGGACAACAGACUGAAUUCUUAGGGUUAUGAAGACUGUUGUCUUAUAACUAAUGUUGUCUGUUCUUGGAAAGUGAUAUGUAUAUCAGUUGAUUACUGUGAUUUUAGUGUUAAUAAAUGGGUCCGAUAGACUAUAAAAUCAGACAAUUCAUAAAUGUUCAAAUCUAGAAAAAUGGAUCAUAGUUGAUUCUCCCUAUAACAAAACAGUUGAACAUUCAUAAUUGUUUAUCACUUUUGAGAAAUACAUUUCAGAAGCUGAGGAUCCUGUACACACACCCUUGCUGAUCUGUGAUCCAUAUGGUAAUGAGACUGAGGCAAUAUAACUGAUUAGUGCAGCUGGUUAUUCACAAAGUAUGUCUCACAAAAUUUUCACUGUGUUUAAGAUUAGUGUAUGACUAUUAUAGAACAGCUAUCCUUUACCCUGGUGCAUUUUGGGGGGAGACAAACCACAAACCUGGGUUCAGACAUGGCUUAGCCCAUAGCAGUGCUGCAGAACCAAGGAAGGAGCACAGUGGCCAUCAUUUUUUACUCCAAGAACCUACUCAUUUGUGCUAAGUCAUAAAUCCGCUUGGUGCUAAAUGCACACUAGGCCUCUGAAUCCAAGUACAGGAUAAUAUGUUUCCUUGAUCAAAGUAAUCCAGCAUUCAACCUGUUCUAGGCUUAUAUGGAGGAAGUGCUUCUCUCUGCAUAUGACCAGAUUAGGUCAUCAUUACAAAGGACAGAAUCUGCUUUAUGUUCAGGAGGCCUAAUCCAUUCUUUGAAUUCAAAUGGCCAGCGUUCCAGAAGUUGUCAAAUGAUCCAUGAUGGAAUGUUAUGAUUGCAACCUGGAGAUUCCAUGUACCUAACAGGUCAGCAACCUCAACAGAAUAUAUUAUUAGUGCUUUAUCCCCCUGCCUUCUGCCCAGGCAGUCAUGGAACAAAAUGAGUCCUGCUGGCUUAAGUAAAUGGAAGAGAAGAAAGGACCAGUGCAGGGGAAACCUUUUGCAACCACAGAGUUCUUUUAAAAGCCUACGUGUUGCAUCCAACAAUCCUAUGUUACAUGGCAAACAGAAUCCCAGCAGCUCGUUUAAUGUUUGCUGUUUGCUGUGUUCAGUAAAAGUGUCUACAGUAUCUGCUUUCUGAGCAUCCUUAUAUCAACUCCUAAAUCUCCUGUACUUUUGCAAGUAUUUUGUGGAUUAUUUGACCCAUGUAAUCAUAUCUUCAUUUUCUGUUUUCUUAACAUGAAUCUUUUUGUGACUCCUAAUUCAGAGAUACUAGGGACGCGGGUGGCGCUGUGGGUAAAACCUCAGUGCCUAGGACUUGCCGAUCGUAUGGUCGGCGGUUCGAAUCCCCGCGGCGGGGUGAGCUCCCGUCUUUCGGUCCCAGCUCCUGCCCACCUAGCAGUUCGAAAGCACCCCUAAGUGCAAGUAGAUAAAUAGGUUCCCGCUUUAUAGCGGGAAGGUAAACGGCGUUUCCGUGUGCUGCGCUGGUGCCGGCUCGCCAGAGCAGCUUCGUCACGCUGGCCACGUGACCCGGAAGUGUCUGCAGACAGCGCUGGCUCCCGGCCUCUUAAGUGAGAUGAGCGCACAACCCUGGAGUCGGACACGACUGGCCCAUACGGGCAGGGGUACCUUUACCUUUAACUCAGAGAUAGGGAGCCUGUAGACUGUCAGAUGUUGCUAGACUGGAGCCCACCCCACCUUCUCUGGCCUUGCACUGAUGGAUUGGAGUCCAGUACAUGGGGGACACAGAUGUUUUACCCCAGCAUGCAUUAACCUAGUCCUCCACCUGUGCAAGAUUUGAGUGAUAAACAGGUUUGAGUGGUUUCUGCAAAAAAUGUGGAAUGAUUACCUACAGUCAACCUUCACCUUAUGGUUUCCUUGUUAUAGUGGCCAUUCUGUGUCAUGUACCAUAGUAGUGAUCUUGGUUCUGGGGCAGGGUUGAUUUAUUGUAAGUCCAUACUUUCUCUUACUCAUUUCUUCUCCGAUCUAAUCUGACCUAUCACUUUGAAUUACCUGGGAUGAGUCUUGCACUACCUUUUUGUGUCUUAAUUGCCCCCCCCCCCCUGUAUCCUUUGUCAAAGAUUCUUUAGCUAUGCUUCUGUCAGCACUAGAGUAUUACAUAGCAAAUAUGUAUUUUUUCCUUGUGCUUCUAAGAAAAUAGUGUGCAGUGUCUGUCUCUGUUUCUCUGUCUCUCUCUCUCUCUCAAUCUCUUUUACAAUUUGCAGCACAUCAAAAUGUAAUUCUAUUCUGUAUUUUGCUAGUUAUGUUUGUUCUAAGCAAGGUUCAUGAUGGGCAAAUCCUCCUGUUUGCCUUAUGACAAUCUCCCUGUUAGAGAGAUAAUAAGAACAAAAUUAGAAGGACUCUUGAUAAUCCAAGUGGUCCAAAGUGAAUGAGGAAUGCAAAUCAGGUGAACAGUUAAUUACUUUUUGAAAAAUUCAUUAUUUGUCUAGAGCAGCUGAUUGAAAAGCAGUGUUGCAAUUUAAAUUAAGACUAUUUGUUCAUUUCCAGAAUGAAAUACUGUAAUUUGACUUAUAAUCUGUUACAGCUUAGAUGAGUAACAGUGAUCUGAGCGCCCAAGGCAGCUUUGGCCAAUUGAAUAACAAAGCUUUCUGAUGAAGCAGGUAGAGGUGAAAUAAGGGACCUCUUCUUCUGAUUCUAAGAUACAAGCACACACACACUAGCAAUUAAUUGUUGUCACUGUUGGAAACACAAUAGUGCUUUUAUCCUACACCACUUGAAUUUGCAUAUCAUGUAUCAUUCUCCAUGUUGCCCUUGGACAUUAUUAUGAUUGGUUGGAGCAUAAUACACAGUGAUUCAUCUUACACAUGCAGCACUUUCCUUUUAAUGAAGUUACAGGCUUUGCAUAUGAGUUAGCUUAGGGUGACAUCACAAUUAGAAAAACUAUCAGAUCUUACUCUAUAGGGAAACAAGAAUGUUUCUUUGCUACUAAUGCAAUAGUCUGAUUCUUCUGAACAAUGGGGUGUUUAGGAGGAUGCAGCUGAUCUAAAAAUUUCCCUUAAAAUCGCAGGAGUGAGUUACACACACUUCAAAGUCAUUCUGGGACAUAUUGACUAUCUCAUUCUAUACAGCUGCAGUUGACACAUCCAUUUUCAAUUGGCUCUGUCCACUUAUAGCAGUCUGUGAAAUGCUUAUUUAUGCUUCAGACUUGUUUUCAGUCAUUCUGAUUUUGUGGCUUUUAACGUAAGUUAAUAUAUCAAACCCUUUUACAGUCAUGUUGAAUGCAAAGCACUCUGGACAACGUAGGAUUCUGUCUGUCUUGCAUUGGCACUUGCCGUUAUUUAUGUCACUACUUAUAUCUUGCUUUUCUAUGUUAUAUCUGAAGCAGCUUAUAACAUCAUAAAAACAAACUCAUAAACAUUGAAAUUAGCAAAGUGACAAUAAAAUAGCCAACAACGAAACCUAGUGGCCUCAGUUUAACACACUACCAUCAGAAGUUUCAAAGCUCAUGUUCUUGGAUGGAAUUAGUUCUUCCAUGUAUCAUCUAAUCUUAUUUCAGAAUCCUUAGGAGAUGGCAGAGGCAUAAACAAGCAUUUGUAAAUUGCAUGUCUUUUGAAAAUCACAGUACAAUUAAUUCAGGAAUAGGAGAAAAGAGAAGAGAGGUACUUAAGAGACUCCUUGACCAUAGCUCCUGGUUCCUUUCUCUCCUCUUCCAUGAAAACUGUUUGUGGCCUGUGGUGAGUAGGCUGCUUCAUGAUGUUAGGAUUGAAGUAAACUAUAUAUUUAUGCUGAAUUUCAUAUACAGUGGUACCUCAGGUUACAGACGCUUCAGGUUACAGAUUCUGUUAACCCAGAAAUAGUACCUCAGGUUAAGAACUUUGCUUCAGGAUGAGAACAGAAAUCGUGCUCUGGCGGUGCGGCAACAGCGGGAAGCCCUAUUAGCUAAAGUGGUACCUCAGGUUAAGAACAGUUUCAGGUUAAGAACGGACCUCCAGAACGAAUUAAGUUCUUAACCAGAGGUACCACUGUACUACUUGACAUUGGGGGGAGGGGGCUAAGUGGUUUAGGGAAAUUGUAAAAUCAAAAUCAAAUCUUGAAAGACAGUAGCAGGAGGUUGAAAUUGAAACAUCAUAAGUGAUAGAAAGGCUGGUUGGAGUGACUAUGGAAGACUAUAUACUACUAAUUUACUUCAUGGGUGGUUAAUGUGGAGCAACUCUCAACCCCAGCCAGAAUGUCAAGCAGCCAGGGAUGAUGGGAAUUGUAGUCCAAAACAUCUGGAGAUUACCACGUUGACUAGCCCUGGUCUGUUCUACAGGUUGAAGGAUAAAAGUAUGUGGGUGAGGCAGGGGAUGAGGGUUAUUGUGACUUGCUAGACAUGGCCUUGACAAUAAGCUGAUGCCCAACUCCCAGGUCUCCUAGUUUGUGUCCCUCAGUACCCAUCAUUCUGUGUCUUGUAAAGCUGCUCAUCAGACAACUGCACAGCUGCAGUUUCCCCCAUUGCUGUCUCCAUGCUAGAAACAGCUGCUUGUCAUUCAGCUGUUAAUGGGACAAGACCGGCUGGCAUCAAAAUUUGAGUUAUGGCUUCCAAAGUUAAUGACACUGGAUUAGCUGGAUGCAGAGGAGGGACUGCUGGUGGGACAAUGACGAGCAGUCAGAGGGGGAAAAGGGGGCAUACUGGGAAGAGAAGGUGUUGGAAGCUGAAGAAGCAACAGGGUUUAGUGAUCAGGAAGGGUCUGUUGCAGAAAGCAGUUCAGAAUCAAAGGCAGGAGAGAUAGAGGGCCAGAAGACAGAGAUGAGACUGGCUUCUGAAGAAGCCAGGGGGUCGCUCCCUCCUGUUGCAACCAGCUUCCCUCCCCCAUGGUCUCCCAGAAUACGAGAGAAAUGAAGAGGCCAGAGCAAAGAGAUACAAGACAGUGGAGCCUUAGGCUACUGGGGAAGGAACCAGAGGAGGAGCCUUAGAGAGCAGUGGGAAAGCAGGGGCCUUCAGUCCUUGCAAUUGCCUCAUUGGGGCAAGACCUACUGGGAAGAGUUGCUGUGAUCACUAGGCCUGCACUGUUUUGGUUUCUUUGAAUAAGGAGUUAACUUCACUGACACUGGGUGUUUUAUUACUGAACUACUCCUGACUAUGGCUCCUGUCACGGGGUAGUUAAUCCAGUGCAUGCAUAAUCUUGGUCGGCAAACUAAGGCCCAGGGGCCGGAUCCGGCCCAAUUGCCUUCUGGAUCCGGCCUGUAGACGGUCCGGGAAUUGCCACGUGUAUCUGAUUAUGAUUGUUCGGGCUGCACACACACACCCCCCAGACACACCACAGCGGCACCUCCACCCUCCCUCCUCCUGGCUUCUCCCCACCCUGCGGAGGAAGGGGACUGGGCUUUGAUUGGUGCCAGCAGCAGCAGCAGCGUGAUCGCUCAAGUGGCCGCCAUUUAAAGCAGCCCCUCUCCAGAGCCCUUUCGCAUGCCGCUCAUCACCCCUCCCUAGCCACCGCUGCCAUCCAGCCCCCCACAAGGUCUAAGGGACAGUGGACCAGCCGCCUGCUGAAAAAUUUUGCCGACCCCUGAUCUAGUGCUCUCCAGAUGAUAUUGGACCAACGCCCAUCAGUUCCAGCAUGACCAAUUAUUGGGGGUGGUGAGAGUUCUAGUCCAACAACAUCUUGAGGGCACUGUGGGUGUCUGCUAUAGACCUCCAAGCCCAGACUAAGGACUUGGAUGCUGCAUUCCUACAGCAGAUUACCAAACAUUUAAAAAGGAGAGAUAUAAUAGUCAUGGGAGACUUUAACUACCCCAGUAUCUGUUGGAACUCACACUUUGCCAAGAAUGUAAGGUCCAACAAAUUCCUCCAUUGCCUCAUUGUCAGUUUCAUUUCCCUGAAGGUGGAAGAAGCAACAAGGGGAUCAUCUCUCUUCUACCUGGUCCUUACCAACAGGGAGGAACAGAUCAAUGAAGUGAAAGUACUGAGAACCUUGGGAAGAAGUGACCAUGUUCUCUUGGGCUUAUUUUUACAAAGGCAAGGCAAAGCUGAGUGUAGUCAGACAUGCACUCUGGACUUUAAGAAGGUUGGUUUCAGAAACUUUUUACUGACUGAAAUCAUGGUCAGAAACACUCAAAGAGAAGCAAGUCUAAGCUGGAUAGGAGUUUCUUAAAGGUGAAACAUUGAAGGCACAAAUGAAGACAAUUCCAACAAGAAGGAAAAGUAGGAGGCACUUACUGUAAACUGGUGUGGCUGCAUAAGGAGCUUACAGAUGAGCUGAGAUGUAAGAAGGGCAUGUAUAAGAAAUGGAAGAAAGGAGAAAUCACGAAGAGUAUACACAAGUAGCCAACAGAUGCAGGGGAAAGGUCAGGCAGGCCAAAGCUCAAAAUGAACUCAGGUUUGCAAGAAAGGUUAAAAGCAAUAAAAAGGUUUCUUUGGCUAUGUUCGAAGCAAGAGAAAGAGCAAGCAAGUAGAAGGACUCUUGUGUGGAGAAGAUGGAGAAAUACUAUUGAGUGACUGGAAGAAGGUGAACUGCCUAACAUCUGCUUUGCCUCUGUCUUCACCCAAAAGGAAACUGAUGCCCAGCCUGGUGAUAACAGAAUAAACAAUGCAAGGAGGGAGCUGAAGGGCUAAAGGAGCUUGCAGAUGUGAUUUCUGGGCCUCUGUCUAUAAUCUUUGAGAAUUCCUGGAGAACCAGUAAGGUCCCUGUGGCCACCAUCUUCAAAAGCGGGGGAAAGGAAGACCCAGGUAACUACAGACCAGUUGACAGUAAGAACUAUUCGAAAGUGAAACGGACUCCUUUGGGAGAUGAUGGACUCGCCUUCCUUGGAAGUAUUUUAAGCAUAGGUUGGAUGGCCUUCUGUCAUAUAUGAUUUAGUUGAGAUUCCUGCAUUUCACAGGGUUGGACUAGAAGACUCUUGGUCUCCCUUCUAACUCUACCAUUCUAAGAUUCAUAGAUGCUAGAAACAGUUUGAUCCCUCUUCCUUUCAUUAAAUGAACAGCUUCCAUGACUGUUGCUGCUGCAUAUUUUCUCUGAACAUCUUUUCCAUGGGAGACCACUUCAGCCAGCAGCUGCACCCACCUCCUAUGAAUGCAAUCAUAGAUGCAGGGCAAUCUAUUGCACUAUAUGAAAAAUUAGAGCAUUUUUAUUCUUGUCUUUAUUUUGAUUCCUUCUAGGAGUUAGAAAAUAGGAUUGCUGAUUAAAAUGGAUACACUUCAGCUUCGUCCAAAGCCCUUCCUGACUGGCAAUAAGAUUGACCUGAAUCAUGCUAAUCAACAAUUGCUGUAUGUUAGGCUUAUGGAAAUACAACAUCUGCACAAAAAGGGAGAAGGAUAAUCAGUUGCUGAUUACAAAACUUCACUUUAUUUUAAAAUGAUUUUGUGUGUGUGUGUUUUAAGGUCAAUUUCUGUUGGGACAGGAAAUAUCAGUAUGAGACUCCCCAAGCCCUUGCUCAUUUUAUAUUAAUGAGAUCAUCUCACACAAUUGAAUUAAUAUUUGCAAUACAUUUGAUCAGACUGCUGGUCUUCCUAUAGUGACUUGUGGAUGGAUACAUUAUUCCUACCAUAUAGAUUUGCUGAACUCUCUUCAAUUAGAAAUUGCUUCAUGUAGAGAAAAGUCUGUGUCACACAAUCAAAAUUAUGAAUACUGUUUCUGAAUUGCAUUGUAGACUUUCCCCAUGAAUAUUGUGUGUAGCCAUCAGUUAACUUCACUGUAUACGGAAAGUAGCUAAAUCAGUUGUAAAAAUAUUAAUAUUCCUUUAUUUAUCUUAAUGCCUGAUCAAACUUAUUUAGCAUGUAUUUUUGAAGGAGUGUUUUGAAAUCCCAUUAGUUAUUUCAUAUUUUUUUUUGCAUCAGGGACAGUGUAGUCAGAGGUAGGCAACCUUUUGCUAGUAGUUAACUGAAUCUCUGCAGCUCAGGACAAAGUUGACUUGGGAAACCUAGACAUAUUUUAUAUUGCAUAUUAACAUGCUACAUCUAUUUGAAGCCUUUCUUACAUCUUUUUAAAUAUUGUAAGGAAUUUUGUGCGUCAUUGCUUCCUCCCUUUUUUUGUGGGAGUAUAGUGCAAGUUUCAGCUCAGAGGGCUCAUCCAGACUUCCAACUUUCCCCUGGGAGAAUGCGCUCUUUAGUGCUGAAUCAGAGCAAUCAGUAAUUAGGUUGUCUGUGGAUUGGCAUUUGCUCCAAUUCACCGCUAAAGAGCAGAUUUUCCCUGGCAAAGCAGUGGAACAAACAGAACACUGCUUGGACAUGUGCAGGACAAGUGGGAAACCACUUUGGACCCGUGCUUUCUGUGCACAAGACAAGUGGAAAUGUGGAUGUGAUGAAAGUCUGCAGCCUCUGGUUAUAUCUACGUUGCCACAUUCUACAAAUAGCUGUUGAAAUCUUUUGAUUCUUUUCCUAUAAGGAUAUAGAAUAGUUUGUGUUCUUGCUUGGACAUGAGAUUUGCUCCUCGUCUUUUAGGCUUAUGUGGCAUCAUGCCAGGAGCUAGAUGCCAUCAACUCCUGAACAGACUGCCUAAGAGAAGAGGAACUUUCUUCUUUUUACACAGGAGGAGUGACUUUUCCUAAUAUGUUACCAUUACUUGCUGUAAUACAUGCCUGCACCACAUAAAUACAAAGUAGGUAUGCUUUUUUUCCUGAAAAGAACUGGUUUGUAUCCAAUGCAAUCUGUCUGCAGGUGGAAAAGACUUUCCCUUCCUCUCCUCUCUUCUGCACCCCUGUGUUCCUUCAAAACCUGCUCUUGAGUGUUGGGAAAUCCUCCAGAGCAGAUUUUGACGGUACGCAGAUAAGAAAAGAGGAAGAUGAAGUCCUGUUACAUAAGUGGAAAUUUACUCAUGCACUGUUGGGUUCUGCCCAUUGCUUUAGCUAUAUGCAGAUUAAUGCAAAUUUGUCAAUUAAUUUGAUUAAGAUUUUUUUUAAUUGGGUGAGAGCCCUACAGCAGACCAAUAUUUAAUUUAAUGUGUGUAUGUGUUCUAUAUAAAAAAGACUUGCAAAGUGAAAACAUCACUGCCAUCCACAUUGCUGUCCAGAAAGUCAGAAACCAAGGCUAGUGGGUAGAGAUCUUAGAUGAGAGUGAAAAAUGAGAUGACUUUGUGUUUUUGGAAUCAGUAAAUCAUCCAGCCUCCUCCUGAAGAAUCGAGCCUUUUAUGGCUGCUCAGCCCCUUUUCAAAGACUGUUUUUCAUGCAACUGGCAGGAGGCAGGGAUCCAGCUGUUUCUCAAAGGACAGCAGGAAGUGGCAACCUCCUUGUUUCUACUGGUGGGUGAAGCUUGGUGAAGACUCUCACCCUUGGAAGCAGAAAGAUCAUCUGCAGACAUCUGAUGGGUCCCACACAGCCUCUUUGUAGCUAUCAGCAUGGGCUGGACUGAUUCCUGAUGGGCAUAGAGCAUGUGCAUUGAAACCCCUGCCACAUGUAGAAUACUAACUCGAAAUUCAAAUUAAAUAAGGAUAAUUAACAAUUAACAAAAAGCUAAGCAGACAAGUAAUUAGAUAUUCCCUGACUAGUGUUUACUGUAAUUUCGUGACCCAUUCAUAAUUAACCUCAGAUUGUAAAGUAUAUUGAUGAGAAGCCAAAGUAUAAACUUGUAUUAACAGUGACAGAAUAAGGUGCCAAUUAAACUGCAUUUCAUUCAAGCUUGGGAAAGCAAAGCUAUAAUGGGUUUUUAUUAUCUUCCCAUGCUUCCCUAUGCUUGGCACGUGCCAGAACGAGAUUAGGAGUUGAUGAAAGGGGAUAAAAAAACUGCCUGAUGUCUGUAGCAAGUUGGGGGCGGGAAGUAAUAAUAAAGAGGGUUUAAAGAAAAACAAUAAAAAUGUUAAGCAGCCUUCUGCUGUACAGGAGUGCAUACGCAUGCUGAAUAGGAUCAACACAUGCAUCCCAAAGUUAACCUUUUUCAGGUAUGGCCUGAAUAGCUGGGCUUCCAGUGCAUUCUUUUUUGACAGACAGCCAGAAAGCUAACUCGGAGGCAUUAUUAACCUAUCUGAAUGUCAUGUGCCAUUCUAUUGAUAUUUUGUUAAGGAUAAUCAAUGGUGAUAACUUUUUAUUCCCUCCAUUAAGUUUUGUUCUUCCUUGUAAGAAGCCACCUUCUCCAUAACAGCAGAUCGAUUCUACAACAAUGCCAAACCAAAUGUGAGAAACUGCAUUCCUAGGACUUAUUCUUUCUUGAAUAAAGCAAAGGGGUGUGUGUGAUUAAAUGAAACCCCUGGCUCUUAAUUUCUCUACAGCGUGGAUGGGGAUGCUGUGGGAUUCCAACACUCAUCAACCCCACCAAUGAGCAUGACCAGUGGUUAGGAAUGAUGGAAGCUGUAGUCCAGUAACAUGUGGAAGGCCACAGAUUCUCUUCCCCUGUUCUACAGAACAUUGCCAGUGACAGCUGAAGCUAAUCCCUGCCCUGUCCUUUAACUUAUCUUCCAUUUAAAAAAUCAGUUUAUUAGAUUUAUAUCCUGCUGUUUUGACCAUCAAAUCCUCCAGCAAUUCAAUAGAUAAUUUUAAAAGCUUACUUCUUACACCCCUCGCCUCAUUAUUCACAAUACUUUAGUUUUCACUGUAGGUUAUGGUUUUGCUAUAGCCCAUUCCUUCCCAACAUCUUUCUACUAUCCAUCUCCAUCUUGUAAUGGAUUAAAGAAAGCUCGUAUUGUUAGCCUCACAGCUCCUAAGCACAGUUCCCAUAGUUGCAUGUCCUCCAGACAGUUGACUCUUUUAGACAUCCUGCUUGGCAGCUGCCUGCUGUCUACUGUUCCCUGUGACAGCAGAAUUCUCUUUUAUGAUACUGUUUGCUCAAAAGAAUGCCAUUGAAAUCAGUGGGAUUUAUUCCUAGGUAAGUGUGUAUACGAUUGAAACCUUAGGCGUCCAUCCUAUGCCCACUGACCUGGAACUUGUACCUCUGUAGACAUGCAUAGAGCUAAAGCAGAGAGGAGUCAGGUGCUGUUCUACUUGUAGUGUGUUGUGUUGAUAAGUAUGAAAUGGCAGUUACUUGGAUGCUGUCCUUUCUACUCCCUUCUUCUUGGGAUAUCUUCUAAUAUCUGAGAAAGGGUCAUAACUUGGUGGUAGAACAUCUGCUUUGCAUUCAGAAUCUCCCAAGUUCAAUCCCUAGUAGCCUGGUACAGCUGGGAGACACCUUUCCUGAAAUCCUGGAGAGCUGCUGCCAGUCAUUACAUAUGAUACUAAGCUAGAUGGACCAAGGUUCUGGGCAGCUUUCCAUGUUUCUGUGAGGAGCCAAUAUAAGGAGGAGCCAUAUAAUGUGUGUUAUACAUGUGCUAAAGUUGGUUCUUCUCAACUUUGUGUGUACUCCUUAAAGAACGGUUUGUAUGUCCACACUACAGACAUUUGGACCAAUCCCCAAUCCCUGCUCUAUGAUACAUCCAGCUCUAAACCACUUACCCAUUGAUAAUCCUUGAGUAUCAAUAGCUUUAACAUUGCUUUGACAGCAUUGCCCAACAACUGAUGGUCAAAUCUGGCACUAGCCACUUAGGCAAUGUGAUUUGUUUAUGUAGUUGUGGGUUGGAAGUGUAUGUUGAGAAAAGAGUAUGCAGGUUUGAUAUGGUGCUCUUCAGAGUGUCAAACCAAACAAUGCACCCCUACCCAAAGGAGUGUAUAAUUUAAAUUAAAUUAUUACUUCAAGAAAGAAGGCUUCUUGGAAACAUAGAAAGUUGCUUUAUACCAAGUCAGACUAUUUGUCCAUCUAGCUAAAUAUUGUACUUUCACUGGUUGCAGCUCUCUACCACCUGAUGCAUUAACUGGAGAUGCCAGGGAGAUUGAACCUGAGGCUUGUAUGCAAAGUGUGUGCCCUUGCACUGAGCUAUAGUUCCUCCCCUUAAGUAAGAAUCAUGUCCCCAAACCAGAGGUAGGGAACCUGCCCUACUGCCUGACUCCUGUCCAAGCCAAUACAGCUAGUGAUGAUGGGAAGCCAACAGCAUCUAGAGUGCCAUAGGUUCUCAUCUCUGUUCUGAAUGGACAAACUUCAGCUAAGAAAGCUGCCAGGAGAGGAGUUCGAACUCUUCCAGAGACUGGAACUCCUGGGCCUGGGUUGGUGAAGUCUGGCACCUUUGAUCCCUGAGCCACUGUGCUGCAGAGAGUUUCUUUAAUUACCGUAUUUUUCGCUCUAUAGGACGCACCCGACCAUAGGACGCACCUUGUUUUAGAGGGGGAGAACAAGAAAAAAAAUUCUCCCCCUCUCUGCUCAGCGCCCCUUCAGCGAAGCGGCAGGAGAAAUGGAGCCCCUUCCAUUUCUCCUCCCGCUUCGCUGAAGGGGCGCUGCACAGCUCUCCCUCUCUGCUGAAGCCAGGAGAGUCUUGCUCUCCCGGCUUCAGCAAAAGGAACCUGAAGCCUUCAGAGCGCAGUGUGAGUUUCCGCUUUGCUCCAAAGGCUUCAGGCGGCUAUCCCUGAAGCCUGGAGAGCGAGAGCGGUUGGUGCGCACCGACCCCUCUCGCUCUCCGGCUUCAGCGAAAGCAACGCGUAGCCUCCGGAGCAUGGAGGGAGCUUCGCAUUGCUAUCGCUGAAGCCAAGGAGCCUGCAUUCGCUCCAUAGAACGCACCCACAUUCCCCUUAAUUUUUGGAGGGGAAAAUGUGCGUCCUAUAGAGUGAAAAAUAUGGUACUUAUUAUUAUUAUUAUUUAUUCAAACAACUAAGCUGGGACAUAAAGGUAAAGGUAAAGGGACCCCUGACCAUUAGGUCCAGUCGUGACCGACUCUGGGGUUGCGGCGCUCAUCUCGCUUUAUUGGGCAAGGGAGCCGACGUACAGUUUCCGGGUCAUGUGGCCAGCAUAACUAAGCUACUUCUGGUGAACCAGAGCAGUGCACGGAAAUGCCGUUUACCUUCCCGCCGGAGCGGUACCUAUUUAUCUACUUGCACUUUGACAUGCUUUCGAACUGCUAGGUUGGCAGGAGCAAGGACCGAGCAACGGGAGCUCACCCUGUCGUGGGGAUUCGAACUGCCAACCUUCUGAUCGGCAAGCCCUAGGCUCUGUGGUUUAACCCACAGCGCCACCCAUGUCCCUUAAGCUGGGACAUAAUAGAGGCUUAAAAAAUUAUGCAUGGUAUGGCUAGAGAAUGUGGAUAGUGAGGUUUUCCUCCUUUCUCAUAAUACCAUAAUUGUGGGUCAUCCAAAGCAAAAUUGGUAGUAGAUUAAAGAUUGACACAAUAACAUUCACACAACACUUAACUAAUUUAUGGAAGUUGUUGCCACAGAAUGUGGUAGUGGCUUUUUACUUAGAAGGCCUCUAACUUUAUGGUGCUGCCUGUUUUGCAUAUGAUACAGCUCCCUUGCCCAAGGCAGCUAAAAUUUCUGGUCAGUGCCUGGGUGGAAAACCAGCUAUAAAAUCCUGUAUGUUGCCUAUAACUUCCAUGAUAGAAGAAAAGCAGGAUAUCAAUGCACUGAAUAAAUAGAGGGGAUUAAUCAGAUUCAUGGUUGUGCAAUAUUUGUCAUGACUGACUAAAUCACACCUCUAUGUUCAGAGGCGAUAAACCUCUACAUACCAGUUGGGGUGGGAGAACAGCAUAAGAGGACUGUUGCCUUCUUAUGUGUAUCUCAAGAGCAUAUGUUUGGCCACUGUGGAAAACAGGAUGCGUGACUAGAUAUUCCUUUGGUCUGAUCCAGAAGGGCUCUUUUAUGUUCUUACUUACUACCAGCUCAGCAUGUGAAAUUACAUGAAUGUAUAAAGUACAGGGUAAGAUGGAAUUGACCCCUCUGUGUUAGAUAUUGAAUCUAAGGAAGAUAGCCCUGUCUCUCUUUAGCUGCUAUUGAAACCAUAGAAUGGGUCGUGUCCUUUGAAACAUCAUCUGCCUCAUUAUGCAACUAGAGCCCUCUCCCCCUGUGUUCUGACUCCUGGAUGCCCCCACAUUACCCUGUCUCGUUGGAGUGUGGGUCACUGCUGUUAUUUCCCUCCCAAGUUACAAGAGCCAUAAAAUUAUUCUCCAAAGGGAAAUGAUUGCAGCAGAUGCCACCUCCCCAGUUCCCUCAAGUUCCAGACAUGGAUGUGAUCAAUGGCAUAAACAAACAAGCGCAUCAGCGCUCCAGCGUCUGCUGUGAACAAGGACAAGUAAUCUUAAUUAAGGUUUUGUCCCAAAACUUUCUAAAAUAUGGAGAGCUUGCACUCUCAGUCUUAAUAAAGUGCUACAAAUGAAGAACUAAUUUAUAUUUAACAAGGCAUUUACUGGAUGUUAGUCAACUAAGGAUUGAUUUAUCUAAAAACAAAAAAGUGGAGAGUUAUAGCUGUCUCAUCAGCUUACAACUGUCAAAUUCUAAUAAAAGUUUUAGUCUAAUAAAAGUAAUCAACCUAGUGUAUGUUAGCAGGCACUAUACAUUUUGCUAAAGUGCUAGUGAUCAUCAGCAAGGAGGAUUGUAUGUCAUGGGGUUUAAAGAUUCAUUUUAUUUAUUCACUCUGAAGAUUCAUCUCCUAUCCAUCCAAUGCAUUCAGUUGCUCAGACUAUCUUACAAUGAUUAUAAUACAACUACUGUAUCCUGUAAUCAAACAAUUUAAAACAAAGUAAUAUAAAAAUGUAAACAAGCUCAGCCAAUAAAAGACUAUACAAAGCACCAUCUGCCUAGCAAUACAAAAGCUUACCAGAACAGAAAAGCUUUCAAUAAUAGGCAGAAAAUGGCAAGGGAGGGUGCCAAGCAAACCUUAUGGAAUAUGGUGUCCAUUGGGUGCAGCUACCAAGAAGGUCCUAUCUCUUGUCCCAGACAAGCAUUCCUCCAGGUCAGGCAGGAUACAAAAAAGGGCCUCUCCAAUGGAGAUUAGGGAGGAGACAGGUUAUUUAAGAUGAAUUGGCCCCUGAAUUUUCCUGGACCCAAGCCAUUUAGAGCUUUAUAGGUAAUCACCAGCACUUGUGGCCAGAAACAAUUUGGCAAGUAGUUGCAGGAUAGGUGUGAUAUGAUCCCAUGCUUGAACACCCGCUAACAUCCUUGUUGCCACCUGGACUGACGGAAGCAUCCAAGACUCUUCAAAGGUAGCCCUGUAUAUAAAGCAUUGGACUUAUCCAGUCUGAUUAUAUCUAAGAUCUUCGCUGAAUGUCAGAAUUCAGAAAAGAAUAGAAUGAAAGUAGAGUAGAGAAGGAGAAAUAAGGAAAUGUGUUUAAGUUAAAUGAAAAAGUAAAAUUGUGCUAAGAGAAUGGUUGGAAGUCAAGUCACUACAUGGGUGUGGGUGUAGGGUAAGUUUAUAGGUAUGUAUGGUAUAGUUAUAUGGUUAUGUCUUUUGUUAAGAGGGUAAGGUAUGGUAUUUUAUUUGAUUAUAUAAUGAUGUAUUGAAUAGUAUUGUAAUGAAUAAUGUAUGUAUGUCUUAUAUGUUUUACAUGUUAAUAAAAAAUAUUUUUUUAAAAAAAGAAUGUCAGGUGAAGAAAUAGGAGUACCUCUGCUGAUGGAGUUCAGUGAGGUCUUCAACUGGUUUGUGAUGUUUUCUUGAGGCGUUACAAUGUGCAGCCCUUAUUGCAAAAUUUUAUUUGGAAGGGAGCAGUUGUCCUGUUGGAGCAAACCAUCCUUGGAAAAAAAUAAGACAUAAGCAGAAUAACAUGGUAGAAUCCUAAAAUGGAAUGAACUCUUAUCACUUCAGACUGGAGUGCAGAUAGGAAAUUACCUCUUUUGAAUACUCUCUUGCAUAUUAUUUUUUUUUAAAUGCCAAACUCACAUCAAUGCAAGUAGAAUGCUGGGACAUCAAAAAGUGAAGUGGAUAAGACAACUCCCCACCCCAAUUUUCUAGUUGCAGGGAGAUUUUUAAUUUAACGCAAAAGAAUAGUUUUUUAUAAAAAUUCCUCUCUAGAUUCUACCACCACAUUCUAAUGCAUGGGAAUAACAAGCUUAAGUUUCCAUGUAUAACUGGGUAAUAUUUGUAGGACUAAUUUAAUUGUGUGUUUCCCCAUUUCCCUAAGCUGUCCUUCUUUCCAGACUUGCUGAGAAAGCACCUGGGGAAAGGGUCAUGCUGUUCACUUCGGUGGACAAAUUUCUUAAACAAACAGAGAGAUACUUAACCACAAACAGACUCCAGGAAGAGAAGUAUCUUCCUGCCAGGGUGGGAAGCUAGAGAGUGAGUUCAGUGUCCCUGGGUGUUUACAAUUCCAGCUGCCCUGACUAUGAAUUGCUUAUUUUUGGACAAUAGGGCACAGACACUAUAAUUUGGUGUGUGAUCAUUGACACACCCUCUCCUUUGUCUUCCUUUCAAAGCCAAUAUCUCAGGCCCAGAUGGGUUAAUACAUAAUGCAGACAUGCAAGUAAUUGGCUGCCUUUGUAUAGCAGUCAGUCAUAGCUCGCUGUCCCUCUGAUCCACUAUUAGUGGCCAUGCAAACACUCCUUCCACCUAAUUAAGCACAGCUUUGAAAAUACCCUUCCCAAUGAUGUUCCAGUCCCAAGCUAGUGAUUCACAUAUGAGCCCCUACCUGUUAAACCUGCAAUCUCACUCUCUUCUGGGAUAGAAUAUCCCGGCCCGCCCCCAGGUGACCCAGCUGCUUGCUGGGGAUGCUUAGGACCUAAAGGGAGUGGGGAGUGAUAAAUGAUCUUUAGAAUAGUCUGUAUUAAAGAGUUGGAAAUGGGAUGUUAAUAAACCCCAAGCCACUAAUUUAGAGAACACAUGCUCUCCAGGCUAAACCAGUGCCCUGAAACAAUGGCCAAUGAUAAACAUGGCCUUUGCCAAGCAACUGUCUUUCCAAAGGCAGCUUUUGUGCAUUUGUGUACCUAUGCAUGGUAAGUCCAGCUAAUUUUUUGCCCUGUAUAUACCAUUCACCUGGUGUAACAUGUAGGUCUAUUUUACUUAGGUGCUGUCCUGGGAAAGCCUGUCUUGUCUUUCUGCCAGUAACCUGAGAUUUUUAUAACUAAGUGUAGUGUUACUUUCUAGUAUAGUGUAAAGUGCUUGUCUGAACUAGGAAGAUUCAGGUUCAAAUCCCCACUCAGCUAUGAAGCUCCCUGGGUGAUUUCAUCUCUCAGCCAAAUCUACCUUAAAAAGUAGUUGUGAGGAUCCAGUUAGCAGGGAAAAGAACCAUGUACACCACUCUGAGCUUGAAGGAAAUGUGGAUAUAAUUUAAAGAAAAUGAAAUGAAUAAAAGUGUUCUUGAACCACUGACUACCCUUUGAUCCCAGCAGAAAAUAUAUUUGUAUUGCCAAUCUGUUAUAUUGAUUAGGAUUCUGGCAUGUAUAAAAUAUAUGGUGAUAUUUUUUUCAGAAUUGUGGUCAUGAGAACAUUAUCUCAAUAUAUUCCAACUUAUCAUGCCCAACACCUGCUCAUCUAAUGCAAGCAGAAAUGAUGAAUUUGAACCACCAGUGUAUCAGGCUCCUUUAUAUUUUGCUCAUCUGCUAGUCAUGUGUGCUGACGUCUCCAAGCGCUGCCCCAAGGACAUCCUGAAUAAAAACGAACACUCCUUACUCCUUUAUUAGGGAUUAUCAAAAAAUAAGAGGGAAAAUUUGAAUUUUGCUGACUCUGGCCUAGGGUGUAAGAGUGAAAGCUGAAUUUGGUCUAAUUACAAAGAGGAUAAUUGCCACAUUAGGAGUCCUUGAAUAAUGUUUCAUGUUACUGUUCUUUGCAGCAGGUAUAAUCUCAUACACCAGGUAGGGUAUCAAAUGCCCUGCAAAUAUUUGUGCAAACUCUGCUUUAAUUGUAUCUUCUCAAUUGGAUGGACAUAGUCCCUCUAUCCAAUCAGGACAAUCCCAGAUCUUGAUUUUCACAUGGUAUUUGAACAGAGAUAAUGUUGCCCUCAUCAUUUCAGCCUACUCAUUGUGCCUAAUAACAUUAAUACUUAGCACUUCCCAUGCACUAUUGUAUUGGAAUCCUUACAACAACCUUGUAAGGUAGGUCAGUAUUAUCUCCAUACUGCAGGUGGGGUGAAGGACCAAGCCCACCUAGUAAAUUCAUGGCAGAGGUGAGAUUAAAUCAGGUAUUUGGUGUUUCAGAGAGGCUCUCUUAUGCAUUAUGCUAUUUCAUCCACUAAUAAAAUUCAAAAUAUGCCUACUGUAAUAUAGUUUUGAGACUCUAAUUUAUUACUUAGUUGAAUACAUAAUCUCAUUAAUCAGAUGGUACUUUUUGGUGAAAGAAAAAUCUAACUUGAACACUGGCCAUUUCAAGACUCUCUCUCCAGCAGUUUAAGUAACCACUUUUCCUGAGGCUGGUUGUAGAUACACAGGCAAAGUAGUACUUCAGAAAGAACACAGCCUUAUAGCACCUCGGAGAUUAGCAGUUUUAACAUGGUAUCAGCUUUCAUGGGAUUCCAUUUAACAUUUAUACUGUUGUGAGUUUGGGGGGUGGGUAGCCUGUAAGCCUGAGUCCCUUCUAAUUCCUGGACUCAACCCUGAGUUAGCACCUGGAACCCUUGGAGUUUUGCAACUCUCAGAGAUUGUGGUGGCAUGCAACAAUACUAUAAACUGCCCUGUGAUCCUCAGAUGAAGAGUGGUAUGUCUAUCAAAGCAAGCAAGCCUUCCCUGUAAUGAAUGUACUGCUGCAAGAUUCUUGCUGUUUUUGGAGAGCUGUUAAGAACGUAAGACUGGAUUAGGCCAAAGGCCCAUCCAGUCCAGCAUUCUGUUCUCAGUGGCCAACCAGAUGUCUGUGGGAAACCCACAAGCGGGAGCUGAGGGUUGCCGUGCUCUUUCGACUUUUGAAUCCUAACAACUAGUAUUCAUUCAGAGGCAUACUGCCUCCAACAGCAAUAUCUUGUAUCCUUGCAGCACUGUUCCCUUAGAAGCUUCAUUUCUGCUUUAGCACAUGUAAAUGUGCUAAAAACAGACAAACAUGAGAAGGAAGAAGAGCAAGGUAGUCAACAUGGUGCUAUUUAGAUGUGGACUGCAGUUCCCAUCAUCCCUGACAAUUGGCCUGCUGACACAGGGUUGAUGGGAGUUGUAUUCUAAAAUAUCUAGAGGGCAGCAGAUGUGUCUUCCAUGAUCCUCACAUUCUUUGCCCUUCUGUGUCUGAUCUUCAGCUUUAGUCAAACACCACCUGGAUGACAAAGCCUUCUAAGCUUUAGGUGUUUGCCUGCUAUCACUAGCUUUUUACUCUUGUUUGUUUAUUAUAUAUAUUUGUACUUUUUUUUAAAAAAAACCUGCAAUGUAUAGAACAGUUUUCAACAAAUGUUUGCGGAGCGUAAUAAAAUCCACAAGCACCACCCAUAGAUUCUCCUCAAUUUUAACCAAAUCAUCCUCCCUAUCAUCUUCUAAGAGAACAGUCACAAACAGUCAGGGAAUGACCUCACCUUGUCAUUUGAGCACUGCAAAUGUUAAAAUAAUAAAUAAGAAAACAAAAUUCAUUCAAAACAAUGAAAGCAGACAGUUUUAAACCAGAAGUUUGAUUAAAAACAGCAAUAGGAAGACUACAUUUAAAUAUUAAGAGCAUGUUGGCUUUUAAAAAGUGUUUAGCAGUCAUCCAGAGAUUACAAGAGAAGGGACCAAGUGGAUCUCUGCAGAGAGGGUAUUCCACAAUAAUGCUCCCAAGCUGUUUAUUAAUCUCUGCACAUUUUCUGUUAGUGGCCAUACAUCCUGUCAUUCAGGGUGUUUUCUCCCUCUGAGAAGCAAGGUUUGUACUUCUAAAGGUUGCUAAUGAUUACAGAGGAAACAAGGCAUGUUGAAAACCCUUCGGAAAACCUGAUCCUAAAUCUGUGUGUUUUUCUCAUUUGAAAGUCAGUCUUGACCUGCUAUAUCUUGGAGUGGAUGGAGGAUUUGCAGAUAAUGUCCUACUGUCUCAUUCAUCAGCAGAUCCCAGCUGAAAGUCCUUCCCACAUGGGCAGCAGCAGGAGGAAGCACGCCAGUAUCAUUAUUCUGCAUUAAUAGAAGGGCCGGUCUCCUGCUGUAGCAUUUUCCUCUGUUGCCAAUUCACAUCUCCUUCAAUCUUCCCUGACUAGUUCUGUUUUAACAUGGACAACCCCCUUGAAACGUCUUCUUCACAAUUGAAACCAUUUCAUUUAUUUGUUUUAUAAACAGAACUCUCACUUGCAAAAUUGCCUAUAUGAUUUAUACUAAGCAGUCACUACAUACCAGUAUGUAUAAAUAUUCAAACAGAUGACUUUUCAGACAGCUGAGCAGAUAACAGUCAACAGAGGAAGAGACUACGGGUCUCCCUAAGGAUAUGCUAAUAGUUUGGUCUGAAAGGGAUUUACAUUCCAAGCAUAGCCACUUGAAGUACAGAGCUUUGUAUUUCAGUCAUUUGUCCAUGUACAUUUUUGUCACUCACCAUUAUUCAGGACUUUGUCAGUGUUUGGCCAGGAAGCACCUUUUCUGUUCUUGCCAGUGGUUAACUAGCAUAGGGAAACAUUUCCAUUUAAUACUUACCUUUUUAAGUCAGCUGUGUGCUCCCAUUCCAGAUACUUAAUAACCAGCAACAUAAAAAGUGCCAACUACAGGUGACGGUUGAUCCCAGUUCCACCAUUUCCUUCCUUUUUUCUCAUUUUCCUAGUUUACUAAGUUUUAGUUUCCAACCUGAUGCAUUAGCUAUGAUGGACAACAUUAUGGCAAUGAAUUCCUUAAGCCUGUGUUGUGUACACUGACUGGUAGUGGUUCUCUUUGGUUUUCAGCAGGGAUCUUUCCCAGUCCUACCAUGGAUUGAAGACUUUGGGCAGGCAAGGAUUUUACUCAGUCAAUGAGAUAAGAUCACUCAGGUUUUUUACCACCCACACCAGCUUAAUGGAGUGACCUGUCCUGAUUUGCAUUCCUCUCUUGGUCUUUUGUUUUUGUUAGUGCGUUCCAUAUUUUUAAUUUCACUUCAGAUGGAAUUAUGGAAUUCUAGAAAGAGAAUUCAGGUUUUACUGUUUAAAAAAAGAAUGCAUAUGUCGUGGCAUGUAGGUAGGGCAAUAACUAUGUCCAGACUUUUGCUUGGAGGUAGCAGUCGAACCGAGCGAGGUAGGAGUCCCAUGAUUCAGAGGCUGGGGCAAAUGGCGGUAGAGGCACAAGUGAAGCCAUGGUUCCGAUGCCGACGUGGAGGCGAGGGAUGGAACACAGUGCUCUAGCCAGACGGUCAGCUCUGAAUUGGUUCUGCUCCGUGAUUUCGCUCAGUGUUUCAGCUCCAUGAUUCAGCUCAGCUCAGGGUGGCCGCGUCUGGCUGUGCUCCGAUGUCCAUCGAUCCCACCUUCGUUGCCGCUGUUAGAUAGUGGUUAGACAUAGCAGACGAUGCAGCGAUUUCUCCAAAGCAGCUCUUUAUUUGUAAGCUGGAACAGAACUGAACUGCAAACAGCUCAGCCGGCCUGCUUUUAUAGGCAGCCGGCUGUCAACAUUGUAGCAACACAACCCAGGUUUCCCGCCUAAAGUAACUGACGUGGACCUGAUUGAAGAUUAUAUACCGGUACAUGAUACUCCUGGUGGCCAGGGUGAGAACUUCAAUACAUAACAGUUUGUACUUAGAGUCAAGAAAGAAAGGCACUGUUUGCCUCUCUAUUUUUUCAUCCCUCAUAGAUCAUUUAAGUGCUCUUCCCUUUAGGUUAAACACCUCAGCAAAAGAUAGCAGUGUUGGAAAUACUGUAUGGGGAAUGCAAAGGAUAAUGUUUGCAUGCUUCAAGGAACUGAGUGGAAAUGCACUAAAGCAGGCAUGGCCAAAGCAUGCAGGAGAAAUUUGCUUGAUAGCAAGCCAAUUAUGACAAUAUAAAAAUACAGUGGUACCUUGGGUUACAUACGCUUCAGGUUACAGACUCUGCUGGUAGACGGCUACGUUGACCCUGGACUUAAUAAAGCACAGUGGACCAACACCAGCUGAUGACAUGGCUCCCCAAAUCUCUUUUCUGAUGGGAGCAGCUUUUGCAUCUCACUUGGAAAUGAAGGACCCAGAGUCUGGAGGAAGACUGCGGAGGCACACAAUGCCAGAUGCUUGAAAUCCAAUGUGAAAUUUCCACAGUCUGUGUUGAUUUGGGGAGCUAUGUCAUCAGCUGGUGUUGGUCCACUGUGCUUCACUAAGUCCAGGGUCAACUCAGCCAUCUACCAAGAGAUUUUGGAGCACUUCAUGCUUCCUUCCACAGACGAGCUUUAUGGGGAUUCUGAUUUCAUUUUCCAGCAGGACUUUGUCACCUGCCCACAGUGCCAAAAGUACCAAAACCUGGUUCAAUGCCCAUGGGAUUACUGUGCUUGAUUGGCCAGCAAACUCGCCUGACCUGAACCCCAUAGAGAAUCUAUGGGACAUUGCCAAGAGAAAGAUGAGAGACAUGAGACCAAGCAAUGUAGAAGAGCUGAAGGCUGCUAUUGAAGCAUCCUGGUCUUCCAUAACACCUCAGCAGUGCCACAAGCUGAUAGCAUCCAUGCCACGCCGCAUUGAGGCAGUAAUUGAUGCAAAAGGGGCCCAAACCAAGUACUGAGUACAUGUGCAUGCUUCUACUUCUCAGAGGUCCAAUAUUGCUCUAUUUGCAGUCCUUGUUUUGCUGAUUUCAUUUAAUAUUCUAAUUUUCUGAGAUUGUUAAUUUGGGGUUUUCAUCAGCUGUACACCAUAAACAUCACAAUUGUAACAAAUAAAGGCUUGACAUAUCUCGCUUUGCAUGUCAUGAGUCUAUCUCAUAUAUUAGUUUCACCUUUUAAGUUGAAUUACUGAAAUAAAUGAACUUUUCCACAAUAUUCUAAUUUUUUGAGUUUCACCUGUAGUUGCUCCAGGUUAAGAACUUUGCCCCAGGAUAAGAACAGAAAUUGUGUGGCAGCAGCAGCAGGAGACCCCAUUAGCAAAAGCGCACCUCAGGUUAAGAACCGUUUCAGGUUAAGAGUGGACCUCUGGAACAAAUUAAGUUCUUAACCCAAGGUAGCACUGUAUAUCUAUCUAUAAGGUUAAAAGCAGCUUGGGAUAAUAUGUUUGGACGCAUUACGAUGACAGAGAGAGAAAUGAAGUAUUAAAGAAUCGAGGACUUAAGAUUUGCAGGAGAAUAAUAGUUUUGCCAAUUUCCUUCCAAAAUCAGAUAAACUUGAUAAAGGGGUGGGGGAACUCUUAAGAAAAAAGCAGACAGGGUCUUUGAAAUUUCUAUAGAUAUUGACUUUGGGAUACUGAAGUGAGAACAGUACACACAUACUUGUAUUCCCAUUUCUUGCAAGGUAGCAUGGUGCUCAGCCUGCCAAAAAGACUGCUUCUUCCUCUAUUGAAUUCUUUAGGGGAAGAAGCAGUCCUUUAAGUAUGUGAAGAGGAGACUUAAUAAUGUAAAAAAAACCCCCACAAAAACUUACAGAUUUCUCAAGCCUUCUGCGUGGGGGAAUACAGAAAGAAUUCAGUAGAGCAGUGCUAAAGUGGGCCUGGCCUAAGAGCAUGUGAGUGAUAUGCUUCAUGUAAAGCAAACUACAAUAGUUUAAAAGAAGCCUGAACUGCUACUAGAAAUAAAUAUUAAUGUGUUGGUUUCCUCAAAGUAAAUAUAUCUAUAUGGGGUGGGGCCCUGGAUUGUAGAAUUAACAGCUUGAAGGUUGUCACAUCUCUAAAGUCUAGAUAUAGAAAAACCCCUGUAAAGUAGGAAUAAAAACACAGUCAGAAAAUAAUGUAUGGUCAUCAGAGUACUUGGACCUUGUAAUCUGAUUCCUGUGUCCUGAGAUAACUUCCAAUGGCUAAAAUUACCCAUUAUUCUACCCUUGGAAUCUAUUGGAUGCCCUGUUAUGUUACAAAUACAUAGCAAAAGUGGUGGCUCGGUAUUGGGUAGCUAGGAGUAGAGAUUUACUCUGUCAAAAUUUGGUGUGAUGUACUGUAUUUACUUUCCAUUUUAUGAAUCCAGGGCUAUUCCUCCACUAGACUUGGGGACAGGUACUGUUUUCAUUUUUCAUCUUGUAGAAUAUAGUGCAUUUUGCUCCCAGCUGCAACUUCCUUGUGAUCUGUGCUAACAGUUGGAGACCGCAUUUCAUUUUUGAUAAUAGGUCACCCAUCUUCCUUGGUUGCAAAUGCAUAUCACUGCAUGAGUUGAUUAGAUUGUCUGGAAGUAUUAAUUCCCCCCAAAGUCUUGCCUCCAUAUCCAUUAGCUACUCGGCUGUGUGGCUAACAAUUCCAGAGAGCACCUUCAGAGACACUUCAUUACCAUGCAAAUAGAGACUGGCUCCUUUCUAUGCAACGUAGCCCUAGCUGGAGGAUUACACUAUAGCUUUAAGGAGAGCAUAUGCAGAACACAAAUUAUUGCAGUCAUCAAUAUUUAUACAGCUGCUAAAGUUCAUAUCUGACAGGAACAGCUUCUACCACAACGACUUGUAAAAGCGAGAGAGAUACACUGAGACUGAGAGGUACCAUGCUCACAAUUAGGAGCCCCAUAAUCAAAGUAUUUCUGUGCUGUUGAAAUAAAUUGGAAUUGGGCUGCUGGUGGGGAUCUUUUCUAGCACUAGUUAGUCUCUAGGGGGUAAACUUUGGCCACGAGGGAUAGUGUCCCUUUCUUAUCUAUCAGAUUGAAGGGCAGCAUGCAAGUGGUUGACACUUGCAGAUCUCUAUAGGAGUGUAUUGUCAUGCAUGCUGAAAUAUAUAUUUGAUUGCAUUCAUGUGCCUUAAUAUUGUGUCAUGGCUAAAAUUUAUCAGUAUUGUAUCCCUUGGAGUCUGUUUAUGUUCUGUGUUAACAUACAUCAAUUUGCAGCUGGGUUUAGGAGGAAAGAGUUGGGAUUUUACCUGCAGAAACCUAGUUUGACCUCUCCUGAUUGACCAUGGAUCUAGCAGCUGAAGUACAGAGUAGCAGCAUCACACAAAAGAGGGUUCUCAAAGGGGGUAUCUAGGCUGCGGAACUCUGCCUCAUCAGAUUUGAUAAAUUACUUCCUCAAGUAUCACCUUAAGAUAACCAUGUUUAGCCCCCUAAAUUUGACUUUUAACUUUUGCAGUUAACUUUUCUUAAUUCUGGGGUUUUUAUAUGUUGCUGCUGUUCUACAGAUUUGAUGGUUUUAUUAUCCAUGUUAACUGAAGCUCACCCACUUAAAUGGCUUUAAAAGGUGGUUAGAUAAUUUCCAAAUCAGAAUUAUAUUUGCACCACCUGUAGGGUUUAGCCAAGGGUGUCUGCUUCAAUAUUGUUUUAACUGAUUUUGUAUUGUUAUAUUGUAAUUCAUCCUGGGACUUUAUGGUGAAGGGCAGUAAAAAAAAAAUCUUAUAAAUAAACAAGCAAACAUGGGAAUAUUUCAAAACAUUGUCUUGAAUGCAUUUGUGCAUAGGAAUGGGACUCUAGGGUGUGAUUCUAACCCCACUCACCUGAGAGUAAUCCAUAUGGAAUUCAGUAGGUCUUAAUUCUGAGUAGACAGGGUUAGAAUCAAACUGUUGGUGUCUUAUAAAAUUAUUUGCAAAGGUGUCGGUAUUUCAGAGCCAUGCUGCUUAUUUUCAUUGUGGAGGGAUUGUGCAUGUCCAAAUUCAUAAAAAUGAAUUAUAGUUUUUAUUUAAAAUGUGCUUAAAAACUGUAUCCUGGUAAAGAUACAAGUAAGAUCACAUUAUAUUCAAAAAAUGCUGGCAGAUGUUCUUGGCUUUCACUUCGGCUUUUAACAAAAUUAAACCUACUAAAGUAUGGGGACCAAGGCCAUAUUCACACAUCUUUCCAAAGCAUAUUCUUUAUAUCUUUUAAAAUAAAUCUGUUGCAUAAAUUUGCCAUGGCAAGCUUGGUGCAAUCCUUUAAUAUUUUUUUCCAUUGGGAAUAACAGUCUAGGUUAGACCCACAUUGUACUCAAAUAGUUUUAAUUCUGUCCAUAGUUGGGACAGGAAGCUCAGUUCGCAAAAUGUGAAAAGGGUUAUAACUUGGGGGAAGUAAUGCUGUGUGCUUGCCACUUUGAGAGCCAGUGUGGUGUAGUAGUUAAGAGCAGUGGACUCGUAAUCUGGUGAACUGGGUUUGCGUCCCCGCUCCUCCACAUGCAGCUGCUGGGUGACUUUGGGCUAGUCACACUUCUCUGAAGUCUCUCAGCCCAACUCACCUCACAGAGUGUUUGCUGUGGGGGAGGAAGGGAAAGGAGAAUGUUAGCCGCUUUGAGACUCCUUAAAGGUAGUGAAAGGCAGGAUUUCAAAUCCAAACUCUUCUAUUCUUCUUCUUCUUUUCCAGUUGGUGAAACUGGUACCUGAAAUGAAUUAGUCUUUCUACUCAUUUCUACGUUCUACUCCAACUAUCCAGCUCUUUACUUUUAAACAAUUUGUUCCUCCAAAUGCCCUCACCCCCUUUAGAAGAAACCCUGAAUGUGCAAUUGUGGAAUAAAUGAGAUUCUUCUAUAUUUUCUUCCUGUAAUUUCUCUUUGUCUCAGAAUGCUCUCUAUUGGAUGAAUUCCAAAAUCUUGCUUCAUUCUGUGUAUCUGAAAGCUAGCCCUGAUUUCCAAUGGAGUCUUUGUUCCUAUCUUAGCUUGUCUCAUGCAAAUCAGUGCCCUGUGUACUUCAAAGGCCUCUCAAGAUGAGGAAUUCUUCACACUACUCUAUGAUUCUUACUGACUGGGAAGGCCCAGAUUACCUAAUUGGUGGCUUUGUUCUUGAUAGCUUAGAGACAUCCCACUGAUCUGAGCAGCCUCAUAACCACACCUUUCAGAAAAUGGAUAUUAGUUUGAUUUGAAGUCUGUUGUCCUCACUAGGAGACCUUCAUGUUUUAAUUAAUUUCUUCCUCUUUAAGAGAUUAGGAUCCUUAUCCCAUACAAUUCUGGGAAUUUAACAAGUCUUUUUCUUCCUUCACACAUAAUUCCAUAGCAUUAUCCUUGGGCUAGCACAGUCCCUCAUCCCACAUGCAUUCAUUCCCUCCUGUGCUUGAUGGUUGCCAGCAAAUCAUUGCUUUCAAAUUGGGUAAACUAUGGCUUCCUUAAACCUUAAUUUGCUUGGUUUGGAAGUAACAGCAAACCAUGGUUUUCUGAGAAACAGGAAGCAUAGGAGUGAAUUAGAAUAUGUAAGGGGAGGUUGGCGGGAUCGUGCAUGUCCAGGUCUUACUCAUGCAAUGGCAAACCAUCAUUUGGUGUUUCAUAUGAACCAUGUCAUGGGUGUAGUCAGGGGUGGCAGAUUUCCGCCUCCCCCCACUCGAUCAAGUAAAGCAAUAGAAAUACUUAACUAACUGCCCAAUCAUGUCAGUUCCGCCCCCAACCAAGUCCUGCCCCCCAACAAAAAUCCUAGCUACUCCCAUGAACCAUGCCUUUGCCUUUUGUGUUAUCUCAUAUGACCCAUGCUGUGCUUCUAGUGUAUAUGUUCAUGUUAUUUGCAUUAUUUUUCUGAGCAUUGUUUUACUGCUCUGGUUUGUUAAAAAUGUUUUGAUUGUUUAGGUGUCAAAUGUAAUUCUAAGGUUUCACUCUCUGAGCCUCAGAAGACCUCUGGAUUUUCUGCUACUAAAUUAACGGAUGGAGUUAUUGGUAAAAGAAAAGCUGGCUGGACUUUGAGUUCAAACAAUGAGAAGAGCACAGAUUUCUGUAACCAAAUUAGUUAUUCUCCCUCUAUAUCUCAACAUUUUGCCCGCUUCUUUGGAUUUUAAACACUGGGUGGGCUGCUGCUAGCAAAUAACACAGCAUUAAGGAUUGAUUGAAACAAGGGCUGUGUACACACCAUGCAUUUAAAGCACACACAAACCUCAAAGAUCCUGGGAACUGUAGUUGUUGAGGGUACUAGGAAUUGUAACUUGGGAGGGGGUAAACUACAGUUCCCAUGAUUCGUCUUUUGGGGAAUUUGUGCUUUAAAUGUCUGAUAUGUGUGCAGGCUUAGUUUACCUCAUCCUAAUCAUUGUAUAUUAAUAUCACCCAAAGGGCAAAGACUUUGCUCUGGAUCAGAUGUAAAUGAGCCAGCCUGAGCAUUAGACCUGUGUGCUCACCCCUUCCCUCUAGUUCUCUUUCAUCUGCCACUUGCUGUGGUCAUUUAAAAACCCAAAACAGAAGAGAGUCCAUGUGGUGUUGUGACUAGAGUGCCAGAGUAGGGCCUGGGACACCAGGAUUUAAAUUCCCACUUAGCCAUGAAGCUCACUGGAUGACCUUGGGCCAGUCACUGCCUCUCAGCUUAACCUACCCCACAGAGUUGUUGCUGGGAGUAAAUGAGUAGGGGGAGAACCAAGUACUCCAACUUGUUCCUUGGAUAAAAAGAUGGGGUUAUAAAUGCAGUAAAUAAAUAAAAAAUCAGUCCCCUUCUCCGCAGAGGGGAAAGUGUGUGAGCCCCAGGUGCACUGUAGGGCUUAUUUAUGUAGUGGGAAACUGGUUUCCUGUUACCUCUGAACUGAGCCUUAGAGGAAUAGAAGGACAACUCUACCAGAUUGAUUUUGGACUUAUGACAGUCGCACCAAAAUCUCUUUCAUAUGUAUAUGAGAUCAUAGAGUAAACAGUUAAUAUAGAAAACUGCAUUACAUAGAAAUGUUCUAACACGCAUAGGUCCUAAAGAGAGAGAUAUUGCACAUAUCACAUCAAUUAAGCACGCACAUAUAUAAAUCAUAACGAAUAUUGUGGCACUUUUAAAAACUAGCAGAUUUAUUGUGGUGUGAGCUUUCGUGGACUAGAGCCCAGUCCUCUGGAGGAUAUAAAUUAUCAAGAGCCUUCUUAUGCAUGCACAUGCAGACCACUUCCAUGCAAAUAUUUUAACAUGUGUAAGCGCCCAGAAAGAUAGCUGUCUUGCAACAUUAAAAGCACCCCUCUUUCCCUUUCAGAUAAAUAUAUAUAGAGAGAGAUCAUACACAAGCUUUCCCACGUGCAUCUGGAUGCAAUAUGUGCAGAUGCCUUUGACACAUCUGAGCGAAUGGCCUGGCAAAUUUCCGAGAGUGCAAAAGAUGGAGAAAAUGAUAAGUCAACUGUCAAUCUUUAAAAUUUUAAUGAAGUGAAAAUACUGCCUGAACCAGCAUGUGAGGAGGAGAGAGACCUCCUUCAGUUUGAACAGAUUUAAAAAAAAAACAACUCAGGGGGAUCAAAGAGGAUUAGCACUCCCAAUGCUAACACUACUGCUUGGAGUGAUGUUUGGGAAAAGGCUAUGUAAACCAUCUGACAAGAGAAGCUAACCUCCUUUUGGAAAGCCCUGAGCAAACAAAUACUAAUCACAGAAUAAAGGGACAAUUAGCGGUGAUGUCUCCUGUAAUAAAUCUACUAACAAGAAUACAACCUUCUGGCCAUUCACAGCCAGAUCCCCAGCCUUGCUGUUUGCUGAGCAGAUUAAUGGGGACAAAUCGGGCAGCUUAUUGCAAGGGACAAGCACAUUUCUUUGUCUGUCUUGACACAAGGAAGCCAAACCUGCCUGGAAUUGUAUUUCCAGCUUGAUCAACGGGGCAUCUGCUCUAACGAUUGCUCCAGUUCCAAUGUCCGUGAGUGGCACCUAAUUUCCUCAUAAAAGAUGCCUCUGCUAGAAUAAUUGAAAACUAACAGUCAAUUUCAAAAGAAGGACACAGCUAGUCCUGUUGUGACUCACACAGUCAUCCUCCAACUUUGGCUUUCUGCGUAAAUUAUAUGGCAUGGAGUGCACCUGAUGUAAAUUACUGACUUAAAUCCAUUAAGUGUCACUUUUGAUUCACAUCUGUGAAUGUAAGGGGAAUCGACCCCUUAUGCCAAGCCAUGUUUGCUCUUGAAAUGCUUCAGCUCUGAUUUUGAGGUGACAUUUGGUGCGUAUGUAAUGAGAUUUUUUGAAGUGGUCCCAUGAUCAUAUAUACAUUGAAGAGUUAUGUUGGGUUUGGGUAUUCCUCAACAUAACUUUUCUGGGAACAAUGCCAUGAGUGACAUCCUCAGUUCCUGCUGGGUUUGCAUACAAGAUUAUCCAUCGAGAAAUGAUAAGGAUAUUAUGUUCAGACAUAACAUGGCUGAAGAUCAGUGGAAGAUAAUCUGUUUUUCAUGCAGAAGGUCCCAGGUCCAACCCCCAGAAUCUCUAGGCAGGGCUAGGACAGAAACCUGUCUAAAAUUUUGGAGAGCUGCUGCCAGUCAGUAUAGGCACCACUGAACUAAAUGGACUAGCAGGCUGACUCAGGGUAAGGCAGCUUCUUGCGUUAUAAGUUCCUAUGUUUUUUUCAAUGUAGCAUUACCAUUCUCAGGUUUCCAUUCUCAACUUUCUCUUAAUCCAGCCCAAUCAACUCAGGGCCAAUCCUCAGAUGAAUGCACAGAAAUCUUCUUGGUCAAAUCUUAGCCAGAGCUGUUAUGUUUAAGGAACUUGGGAGCAUAGGAAGUUCCCUUAUAUGAGAUCAGAUUAAUGGUCUUGACUAAUAUUGUCUUCUCUGUGGUUCUUCAGGGUCUCAGGCAGAGAGUCUUUCUCAUCAUCUGAGAUCUGAGAUCCUUUUCACUUGGAGAUGUGGGGGCUUGAAACUGGGACUACUUUGCGUGUAAAUUGUGUGCUUUACCAUUGAGUUGUGGUUCUGCCUAAAGAGCCUUAGAGUAUAUAAGAGAGGGAGUUCAUUGUAAAUCAAAGUGAAGCUGCAAAAAUGUAAAUUGGCUAUAUGCAAAAUUAUUUAACUUCUUAAUUUAUCACCAUAGAAGCCUGGUGUAUCCUUAAAGAAUACAGCCUUACACACCCCUAUGGCCAUGAUCUUGCACAAAGUCAGGUGCAUGCAGCCUGUGCUUCUGUACUCUUGAAUCUGUGGGUUUGGACAAUAAUCAAAUAGUGGGUUUAGAAGAGAAGAUAGGAGAUGCCUCCAGCUGGGUUCCCUGCCCGCUGCCCCGGGCCAGAAUAUCAGGUAAGGAAGCAGUUAACCUCCACAUUUUUUUAAUGCAAACCAAUGUUGCAGUGCUGUGUGUGUGAGCCUUGGAUCUAUAUGGCACACAUGCUAAUACUACAUUGUUGUAGCAUUGCACUACAGAGAAGCAGAUUCCCUCAUGUCUUCUGAACCAGGCAAGGGAGCUCUCCAGCAAUAUCAGCAGCCAGAAUAACCAGUGCUGAGCAGGAACUGUCCAGGAGUACAAUAGACUAGGAGUAGGACUAUGAACCUAUUGCAUCAGUAGCUUCCAUUCAGCAGCUGAAAAUCUAAGUACCUCGGGUUAAGAACUUAAUUCGCUUUGGAGGUCCGUUCUUAACCUGAAACUGUUCUUAACCUGAGGUACCACUUUAGCUAAUGGGGCUUCCCGCUGGUGCCGCACGAUUUCUGUUCGCAUCCUGAAGCAAAGUUCUUAACCCGAGGUACUAUUUCUGGGUUAGCGGAGUUUGUCACCUGAAGCGUCUGUAACCUGAAGUGUCUGUAACCCGAGGUAUCACUGUACUCAGCCUGGUUAUUCCCUGCUGGCCUGGCCCUCACCUUGAAGUACUAGGGAAAGUUUGAUCCUAACUGUGCUUAUGAUAAUGAUUCAUGUUGACUGUGGGGAUUCGAGAGCUGUAGGAUGAAUCCAGUGGAAGCAUAUCAGAUCUACUGCAUUUCAGUAAGAUCUUUGGGAUUGCCUCAAGGUGCCCUAGCUAUGGUGUUGUAUGGUUUAUUUAUAUGUUCCUUUUGGGCUCAAAGGCCCUCAAAGCAUGAACAACAGUAAUGCAUAUUAACAACUUGGGACCAGUUUAUCUACAAGAUUGCCUUACCCCACAUGUGCCCACUAACCUACCCAGAGGCUUAGAAAGUUGAGGUAAUUUUAAUCUGUUUUAGUAUUUAAACUUCUGCAUGUUUUAGAGUAUGGUUGUGAUUCCCCCCCCCCCUUGCUUUAUCUUUCUGUAAACCGCACUGAGGCUUUUUACAUUCAAGCGGUAUAUAACUUUCAUGAAAUAAAUAAAUAAUAUCAAUGCAAAAUAAAGAUGCAGUAAAAUUACAAGACAUGCAAUAAAUAAAACAAUAUGAAAUAGUUUUAAAAUUCAGACAUGAACGUUAACUAUGUGAUGAUAUCCUUCCAUUCUCCUUUGCUUCUUCGCAGGAGCAAAGAUAUCAUUAGAACUACCUGAGACACCAUGUUAGAUGUUAGGCUGUCCCAGGUCAUCUGGUCCUGGUUCAUGCUGGGACUGAUGCUGAUGUCCUGAGGAUGUCUCAUGAUAAUCCAGCUAUAGGAGCUUGGCAGGUCCCAAUGCUUCUGCACUGCCACUCAGGAAUGGGUCUCAGGAGGUGGCUCAGUGGUGCUUUAGGGCAUAAUAUUCAACAUCACAGAUUAAUCAUGUCUUAAAACCCUUUAAAUACUUUUGAGUUAGGGUGGCUUAAGAAUGUAGUUUCCAUUCUUUUGCUGCAUAUUUGUGUGUGAGGAUUGUGCACUAUGUUAACUAUAAUGAAUAUUGCGGCGCAGGAAGGAAAAGUUUCAACGUUGUUUAACUGAGGAUAAAAGGUGUGUUCUUUGUCCAUGUCAUUUAAGCUCCAGGUGCAGAGUUUUGUGAAUGUGUCAUAUUUGGGGCUUUCCACUGUUUCAUGUAGGAGACAAGCUCCAUUGCACCUGGGUACAAGGCACCAAUGCAGCUCCAUAUCGCCUAAGGUUCUCUCUUUGGCCUGCAGCAGGUUUGGGAACAAGUAGCCCUCCAAACAUCAUUGGACUCGCAUCACCUCUGGCUGUUGCCCAUGCAGGCUGGGGCUGAGAAGAGUUGGCAGUCUAACAACAUACUUCUUGUUUCAUGGUGAUUUAUGUGUAUUCAUCUAGAUCAUUUACUCAGAGUGAACACUACUCUUGGACUUGUCUUUAAUGUCAUCUUUCCAUUCUGUCAGAUGCAAUUCUGACAGUUAACUGACAGCAUAUUUAUCUAUUUGUUUUGGCUCUUUAUAUCCCACCACCUCAAGAAAUGUUUGAUGCUGCUUUCAACAGUUUGCUCCUGCUUGAUUCCUUUAACCCUGCAUAUUACAGUCACCAAGCCAACAUUUGGCUUAGUGUGUUGUCAGAACCCAAUAAUGUGGUUAAACUCUGUCUUCCUUAACCUGUAGCCAAGAACAAAACUGCCUCAAUCUCUUUCUGAGAGCCAGCAUUUGCACUAAACCAUAGUUUUUGCCUUAGCAUUACACGCAAACAUGUCCAGUGUAGCUAGUAUAGUACUGAGCUAGAUGGACCAAUGGUUUCAUUGGGAAUGAGUCAGUGUCCUUUGUUCCUAGUCGUGGUCCAGAUCCUUAAGGAGGAGCUAUUGGUGAUGGAGCAUGUGUGUUGUAUACAGAAGAUUACUAGUUCACUAUCUCCAAUAGUGCUAGGAAAUAACCUCUGAAACACAACAGAUGCAUUAUCGGUAGAUGACCCAGAGCUAAAAGGGGCUAUAGUCUGACUUGGUAUAAAGCUAUUUCCUUAUCCUUAUGUUGUGACUUGGCAACAUGAAGGAAUUCCUUCCAAGUAUAUAGUUGGUGCAGCUGAAAUAUUAAAUACACUUCCUUUGUUGCCUUCCAUUUCAUUUACAUGUAUUUUCACAUUGCUGGCUACAACUUAAUACUUGUUUGCCACCAACAUUUAUGACCAGACAUUAUACAAAGCAGAAAAGUCACAUAGAGUCCUUUGGAGUAAAAGUAUUUUUUCAUAAAGCUUUUUCUAACAACGGGGGGUUUCUAGCCUCACUGAGAGAAGCCUUCAAUUUCCUGCUUGUCUUAUAUACAUUGGAAGCAAUUUCUUCCAAGUUGUUGUCUGUGAACUUGGUUACUUAAGAAUCCAGCCCAAUAGGCUCUGUUUGAAUAGCAUUAACCAGAAUACACGUUAAGAUGCUACAAGUAAUCUGGAUAAACAGUGAUAAGACAAAAGAAAAUAAGCAUUAUGCAUGCUAAGCACAAAUAAAUGAAACUUAUUUGAUAGGCCAACCUCUGGCUACAGUGGGAAUGACAAAGUAAAUUGGAGGAGUGAGAUUGGAGCGAAGCGGUAAACAUCUGUCACAGGGAGCAUUUUACAGAAGGCUGGAAUCGAGGUGAGUGAGAUGACAGAACCAGAGUGAACGCAUUUAGAAAUCAUCUUCAUUUGGCUGGAGCUCAUUAAAUUUCACACUCAAUAAGCAGGAUACAUGCAAGAAUGUGGGGGCUGAAUGGGAAGAGGGUAGAUAACAGAGACACUGCACCUAGCCUUGGUGACUGAAUUGAAACUACUAAUCAGUCUACUCCUGAUUAUGUGGAACUGAAGCUAAACGAAACUGCAUAACAGGACUGGAAAGGAAGAAAAUGAACAUGAGAUCAGAUUUCUUUAAUAAUAAAUAAUUAUUGCAUUUCAUUGCCUUUUGGUCUCACUGUUCACAUUUUUCCUGUAUUCCCUGCAUGUGUUCUUAAUCUCGUCUGUCACUAUAGAUAUUAUCUUCCAUAUGAGGACAACACUUCAUGCAUCUGAUAAUGUGGGUUCAGGUCAAUGAAAGCUUAUGCCAUAAGAAAUCUGUUAGUCAAAUUCUCUCUCUCUCUCUCUCUCUCUCGUGUGUGUGUGUUUGCUGUAACAGACUAGCAUGGCUAUCUGGAAUUUAAUCAGAAAUUGCCCCUACUCCUGAAUACAGCAAGAGGGUAAAUCCUACCUUGCAACUCAAAGGUGUGAGUAUUUCAGCUACCCCCACCAUCUAACUUGGGGGUGGGACACUUCAAGCCCAAUGACCAAAUGUGGCCCCCCCCAUGCUUCUCUAUCUGGCCACUGGGACUCUUCCCCGGCCAAGCUCUUGUGCAAAAUAGUCUUCCAUGAACACAGUUUUAACAGUGAGUCCGUAAGUGACUGUGGAGGCCAAUUCUGGAUCCACACAUCCUUCCACAGUGGGGACAUAGGUUUCCGGGUGGGAAUUGAUCAUGGUGAGGGUUUGCCAACUUGCCUUCCUCUAAACAUGUUUCUCCCUUUCGUCCUGAGUUCAAGCGUCUUCAAAGUCCAUGACACCUUUGGUAAAGGCCGUUCUCCAAAUGGAGCGCUCACAGGCCAGUGUUUCCCAGUUGUCGGUGUUUAUACUACAGUUUUUAAGAUUUGCCUUGAGGGAAUCUUUAAACCUCUUUUGUUGACCACCAGCAUUACACUUUCCAUUUUUAAGUUUGGAAUAGAGUAGUUUCUUUGGAAGAUGAUAAUCAGACAUCCUCACAACAUGACCAGUCCAAUGAAGUUGAUGUUGAAGAAUCAUUGCUUCGACACUGGUGAUCUUUACUUCUUCCAGUACACUAGCAUUAGUACACUGACACUACUCUUGUGCAAAGUAGUAGCUCCUGUGCAAAGUACUGGCAAAAGCAGCAUGUGAUGGUGGUUUUUACAGCUCUAUAUGAAAUGGAUGCAUCAUUGUCUCCAGGAUAAUAUCUGCAAGCUUGGGUUAUUUUCAGAUACUUUGUAUAACUGGUACUGUGUGGAAUUAUUCAUAAAGUAAAUGUGUGUAGUAACCAUGAAAGAGUGGGAGGACUCUCAACAUUAAUCUGGAAGUGUGAUUAAGGAAGUUCUGUAGAUCAGUGGUGGCGAACCUAUGGCACACAUGCCAGAGGAGGCACUCAGAGUUCUCUUUGUGGGCACGUGCACUUUUGCCCCAGCACAGAGCCGGCAGAAGGCGAGGGCAUCAAGUCCUCAGCUCAACUUGUGUCUGAGUAGAAGCACUUUGGAUGGGGCAUUGGGGUGUGUGUGUGCAAAACGGAGCCACAAGCUCCAGGGUGCGUGUUUUCCCUUGGGGAGCCUCCGCUGUGGGUGGGGAGGGCGCAGCGCUGUGCACGUGCUCAGAAGCAUGCUGACGCGUUGGUGGGCCACCCAGAGUUCCAAGCAGCCGUCUUCCUCCUGCUGCUGCAAGGUUGAGUCUUUACACACCCUCCAGCCCAUCCCUUGCCUGCUCACUUGCCGCCCAGCCCGCCUUCCCUCACUCUGAAAACGGAAGUGUGGCAAUCAAAACAGAAGUUAUACUGAGAACAGAGCACUUUCCGCUUCCGAAAAAAGUUCAAAAACCCGAACACUCAUUUCCGGGUUUGAAGUGUUCAGAUUCCAAGUAGUUUGAGAACUAAGCUGUUCGAAAACUGAGGUACCACUGUAUUGCUCCACUCUCUCUCCACAUGGAUGCACCAACCUCCCCUUCUAAACUAAAACCUAGGACCCUCAUACCUACGGGACCGCCUCUCCUGGUAUGUCCCACAGAGAAACUUACGGUCUUCAAAUAAAAACAUCUUGAAGAUCCCAGGCCACAGAGAGGUUAGGCUGGCCUCAACUAGAGCCAGGGCUUUUCCGGCUGUGGCUCCGAUCUGGUGGAACGCUCUGUCACAAGAGACUAGGGCCCUGCGGGACUUGACAUCUUUCCGCAGGGCCUGCAAGACAGAGCUGUUCCACCAGGCCUUUGGUCAGGGCGCAGCCUGACUCCCUCCUUUGGCAAUCUUCGCGGAGCUCUGGCCCAAUGGUUGCCACUGGUUUGAGUUGAAUCAGUUUUAUAAUGAAUGAUUUUAGAGUGUUGUGUUGUGUUGUACUGUUAUACUGUUUUAUUGUUGUUAGCCGCCCUGAGCCCGGCUUCAGCUGGGGAGGGCAGGAUAUAAAUAAAAUUUAUUAUUAUUAUUAUUCAGGUUAAAUUACCGUGUUGGCACUUUGCGAUAAAUAAGUGGGUUUGGGGUUGCAGUUUGGGCACUCGGUCUCUAAAAGGUUUGCCCUCACUGCUAUAGAUGUACAGACAUUGUUGUGGGUAAUGACAAAAUAUUGUGUAACAUCAAUGAUUCCCCUUGUGUUGUGUGUGUGUGUGUGUGUGUGUGUGUGUGUGUGUGUGUGUUGAUAAUAAAACUCAAAGAGUUUGUGUUCAAGAAUGCUGGUGGGUUUAUUCUUUGACCCGGAUGUGAAAUCCCCUCUUCCUUUCAGUGGUUUAUUGUACCUAAAGUUAAUAACCUAUCUUAAAGGUUUGCUGACGUUCUUGACUCCCAAUGCUGGUUCACCAAGGCCAUGAACAUUAAGAGCACAACUUGAUCUGACACCAGGAGAUCUAUGAUCAUAUCACUUGCUACUUUCAAAAGUGCAGUUAGGGUCACCAAAUAUGAUCAGGAUCAUGACACUGGAGAAGGGAGGGAUCACCUUUUUUUUUUUUACACCAUUGAGAAGAUUUAAUAAAAAUGUAGAAGCCACAAACAAAAAGGAAAAAGACAGUUGCACAACUAAAUUGGGUCCUAACUCAUUUCACUUUUCAAAAAAGCUACUUGGGACCACUUCACUCCUUUUCCCCACUUGCCAUUUUCCCAUUGAAAAUCCAUAGCUGCAAUUUGCACUUAUCACAGUGCUAGUUUUAAUCUGGUCUUCUUCUCUUCCUUUUUAAACUCUGGGUGGCUUCCAACAAAGAUUAAAAAUACAUUAAAAUGUUACAUAUUAAAAACUUCCCUGAACUGCCUUCAGAUGUCUUCUAAAUGUCAGGUAGUUGUUUAUCUCUUUGACAUCUCAUGGGAGGGCGUUCCACAGGGUGGGCGCCACUACCGAGAAGGCCCUCUGCCUGGUUCCCUGUAACCUCACUUAUCUCAGGGAGGAAACCGCCACAAGGUCCUCGGAGCUGGGCCUCAGUGUUUGGACUGAACGAUGAAGGUGGAGACGCUCGUUCAGGUAUACCGAGCCAAGGCCAUUUAGGGCUUUAAAGGUCAACACCAACACUUUGAAUUGUGCUCGGAAACGCACUGGGAGUCAAUGUAGGUCUUUCAAGACUGGUGUUAUGUGGUCUCGGCGGUCGCCUCCAGUCACCAGUCUAGCUGCCGCAUUCUGGAUUAGUUGUAGUUUCCGGGUCAACAAUGCAUUAAGGUAUAGUCCUUGAUUGAAAGUAGAUUGAAAUAGUUUCCAUCUCUUCUCUUUUAGCUGUGGUGGGGUGGGCAGGCAGUGUUUUCCUAUGACUAAUGGCUAAAAACAAACAGAUUGAACUACUUUGGGCCUAAGGACAACACUUCACAAAACUGAUAAAGCAGGCUCUGACCCACAAAAGGCUCCUUUCUGUUAUAAUAAAUUUAAUAAUCUUUUAAGGAUUUGCUGCAACAGGCUAACAUAGCCAUCACUCUGUAAUCUAUCUUUAAAGUUUACAGUAACACUUCGGAUCAAACUCAUAACUAUGAUCAGCUAUAGCUAAGAUUUUCAAAAAAUCUGUAUGGCUUUAAUAGUUGAAAGCCAUGAUAACGGGAGCCAGUUAAGGUCACUGGUCAAGGGCUCAAGUGACAGUUGCUUCCACAUACCAUAAUGUAGUAACAAUUUCUGCUUUUCACCGAUUUAUUGCUGAAUUUGUCCUGUCAGGAAGCAGACCAAUUCAGAGCAGUGAUUUAAGGAAAUCUUUUAAUAAAGGCACUUGGCAGAACUCCCCACUUGUCACCUUGCACAGCAUUUAAUAUUCCAGUGUAACGUGACUGUUCAUUUCUAUUACAGUGGAGAAUAAUUGUUUUGAUAAUUGUUUGAUAACGUGUUAUUUUCAGGUAAUUUAUUUCUACUUUUUCCGCGUGGUGGAUUCUCCUGUGUCCCUGGAGCAAGGAGAGCUGCUGCAGGAGAAAUGGAAGGCUUUGUAUUACUUUGGAAUUAAUAUUUAUUUGGUUUCUUCACUUGCUCAAGAACAAGAGACUCCAUGAAUAAUACAUAGGCCCAAAGAUGCCAAGAUAGGAGGCUUUAUAUUCUGAAUGCCAGUAGGAUCCAGAAAACUUAAAUCAAAGGUAAGAAUCAUCAUUGUCGGGUGCAUCAGGCAUGGCUCAGGCAAAUGGGAAUUCGAGUUCACUUCAAGGCCUGUGUUUUUUUAAAAAAAUAAAUAUGAAGGCAGAUCCAUUAUUAUCUUGGGGUAAAUGGGAGUAGGAAUGACCUGGGAAAAACAGACCACUGGAAUGAAAUACAGAUUCAAAAUUUGAAAUGCACUGGAAAAUCUCCCUAGGAGAUUUGCAUGUUGCUUUCUUGACUUGGAUGUAUGACUCCUGAGUGUAAAUUACUGGGCAUGUUUCCUAGCUUCAGAUACUUCCCUGUUAUGUAUUUUACUUUAUAUAUGGUCCCAGAACAUGAUCUUAAGGCACAUGAUGCAACAUCCUUGCCAGAGCUAAAUAGGUCAGGGUCUUGAUUAGUGUCAGGAUGGGAAACCACUGCCUGUUCCUCUGGUUCAGGAAGAGAAGCAGCUCAGUCUAUGAUAUAUGAGCUGGAGGCUCCAACCUUUUCCUGAUCAGGACAGGUGUUUUCAUGAGCUUCCCUAGCCUGAGUAAUUUCAUAUGUGGUGGUGGCCCUGAAGCUCUUCCCCGGUUGACUGUCUCCUCUGAUCCUGUGAAUGUUGAGUGGGUGACCUGAGAGCAAGUCAGGAACCCAUGCAGCUGUUGUGCUGUGCCCUCCAAUCCUGUGGCAGCAGUGUCUAGAUCCAACAGCUUUUCAGGGUUUCCAGUGGUAUGGAGAUCUGCUUCGUUGUCCUGCUCUGUGUAUGGGGAUACCUCAAGUUCCAGAGAUGCCAUCUACCUGGGAAUCCCAUGCACACUGCAUAUAAUAGAAGAAAGACAGGGUAUAAAAGUAAUAAAUAAAUAUUAGCAGAAUAAUGUGUCUUACAGCUAAGAAUUUUGCAGAAAUGUAAAGGCCCAAUGUAACCUCAGAUAACUUCCCAGCUUCAAAAGGGGAAAUGACAUGCUGUUGAUCCUAAAGGCUGCUUUUUCUUAGUACAAGAAGUGGUGUGUAGUUGUUUUUAAUGCCUGCCUGCUACACAUCCCAAGAGAAACUCCAGCUUAGCUUUUGGGUGACAUGUUUUCCUUUGUUAUCUCACAUCAGUCCUGACACUGAAAUUAGUCCGCUAAUGCAGCCAUCAUGGUGCAACAAGAUAAAGGGUCAAAAGAUGCAGACAUUUCUUAUCACCCACUGGGUGGAUAGAUGUGAGCUGGUCAAUAAGUGCUUAGUAAUGUGUUCACGUUGUAUGGAGCUUUUGAACUAAUAGACAUGUCAGCAUAGUCCAAGAAGCUGAUGUUUGUACAUUUGGGAUUGGCGUUGACAUUCCACUUCUUCCAGUCUUGCUCUUCUGAAUGUAAUAAGCAGAACAAUUGCUUCUCUGAUCAAUCAUCUUGUUCCAAGUUGCUUUCUCUCCACCCCCCAAACCUUCCCUACGCUUUCUUUCAUCAAGGGGUGCCUGAUAAACACCAUGUUUCACUAAAUGAAAGGAUAAGUGAUGAGGCACUAUCUAUUCUGAGACUUCUUAUUGAGAGAGACAUGAAAUUAAGGCAUGAACAUCAUUGAUGAUAAGUCUACUUGGUUUUUGUAGUUCCCAGAGCAUGAAAUUAUUGGGGAUUUCCUGGUGCAUCUUCCUUACUUCAUGCCUUUCAGAUUCUAUAAUAUGCUGGAUAAUGCAGGCAAAACUAGACUGCAUGCAGUUAAUUGAAAUACACAAAGCAGAGUGAGUUCCUAUCUCAUCAGUAAGGUGCAGUGUACUGAAAUCUGAAUUGUGCCGAUCACUUGAGUCACUGUGUCUGUUUUCCAAAAAUGACUGAACAGUUGCAUCAUCUAUACAGCAGUUGUGUUUGCCAUGAUAAAUCCCCAAAGUGGGAAAGAAUGGUACAUGUCUCAAAACACUUUGGGUUCUGUUAUUGGCAGCCUUGAGCCUUUCCGUUAUCCUGGAAAGGUUGGGGAGCUAACCCAUUAGGCAAGGCGCAAUCUAUAGCAAAGUUUGCUUAAAGCAGCGGAGCAGCUGUCCAGCACAGCAAUCCAUGCCAGAGCAGAAGCAUCAGCCUAGGUGAAGGGCAUGAAACCUUUUUGGCUCUGUCAGCCAGAUCCUAGCCCAUAGGCCAAACUUGACAUCACAGUGCCAUCGGGCAAUUGGGCACUUUCAAAGAGGGGCUUUCAAUUGGGUGCUUACAAAAGGCUUGUAAAGAGCACCCAAGGCUUCCAUUUUUGCACCCUAUUAGUUGCCUAUAACCUAGACAAUUAAUAAACUAGACAUAUAAGUUGCAUACAGUACAGUAUUUCAAGACUUGCCAGCAUUGCCUGUGCAGCUUUGGUGACAGUUCAGAAAAUGCAGUUAGUACAAAAAUGUAGUAGCUGGACUGCAACUGGGGACUACACACCCAGUCUUGCUCAUAUUAAAAGAGCCUCACUGGCUGCUGAUCUAUUUCCAAGCCUGAUAUAAAGAUGCUAGUUCUAACCUAUAAAGACCUAACUGGACCCAGGUAUCUCAAGGGAAACCUGCUGCUCUGUCAACAUGCACACAUACUGAGGUCAUCUGCUGGUGGCAUUCUCUAAUGACACUGCUAUCAGAAGAGAGCUCACUGGAAAGACAGAUCCUGAAGCUGAGGCUCCAAUACUUUGGCCACCUCAUGAGAAGAGAAGACUCCCUGGAAAAGACCCUGAUGUUGGGAAAAAUGGAAGGCACAAGGAGAAGGGGACGACAGAGGAUGAGAUGGUUGGACAGUGUUCUCGAAGCUGCUAACAUGAGUUUGACCAAACUGCGGGAGGCAGUGGAAGACAGGAGUGCCUGGCGUGCUCUGGUCCAUGGGGUCACGAAGAGUCGGACACGACCAAACGACUAAACAACAACAAAUCAGAAGAGAGGCAGGUAGUGGUCAGAAGACGUCUGCUGUGGUUCCCCCAUUGUGAAGCUCUCUCCCCAAGGAGACUCAACUGGUGCAGGACAGACAAAAAAAAGAUACUUCUGCACACAAUGCAUAGUUCAUUAUGGAAUUUGCUCCUACAGCAGGCAGUGAUUACCACCAACUUGGAUUGUUUUAAAUGAGGAUUGGACAAAUUCAUGGAGAAUAAGGCUAUCAAUGGCUUAUUAACCCUGAGGACUAUAUUAUACCUCCACUGUUGGAGGCCGUACAUAUGCCUCAAUACUAGCUGCUGAGAAUCGUGACUGGGAUGAGUACUAUUAGGUCCUGCUUGUGUGCUUCCCAUAGACAUUUAGCUUGUCACUGUGAGAACAAGAUGCUGGACUAGAUAGGUCACUGCCCUGAUCCAAAAGGCUCUUGCUUUUUUAUUGUCCAGGCACUAGGGUAAGACCCUUUUGUUCACCUAAGGUUUUUAGAUAAUCUAGUUGGUUUUUUAAAACUAUAGUUUGGACAGAAUAGGUCCAUUGUUAAUUAUAUUUUUAUGUGAUUGUACAUUGCACUUAAUUCAAUUUAUAUAGGGUGAUAUAUCCAUUAAAAAUAGAUUUUAAAAAAUGAUGGGGAGUUCACAUAUACUAACUGUUGCACCCAUUCUUAAGAAGGGCUAGCUUAAAGUAGCAUAUUAGCAUUAAUACAUUUCCCACUGUCAUAAAAGGCAGAAAUACAUUGUUAAUUUCCACCCUUAUUUUAAUUUGAAACUGAUGAAGAAAGGGAUCUGUGCAGCCUGGAAUCCUGCUAGUUCAAAGGGAUUAAUUAAAAUAAAUGCUUAUUUCAUCUCCCUUGUAAUUUAUUUAACAAGGCUCUAUAGUAUAGGUAAAACAACCAUAGUAGCCACCCUGAGAGAUAAAGGUAUCUCAAAGUAUGAGGGAUGAGUUUCAGUCUUAGACAUUAUUGUUUAUGGAUUCUGGAACGGAACUGAAUUUGCUCUGAAAGCAGCAGUUGAACCCACACAGAUGUUAAGAAAAAUCUGAUACUGACAAACUGUUAGCUGAUCUUUAAUUAGUUGCCAGGUUUGGAAACUGGAGAGAAACCUUACAAACAUGGCUCAUUGUAGGCAAGUAAGUGUGUCCUUUAUGAGUUUGCAAAUUGCUUAAUAGAGAAGCGGAGCUCUUUGAUAAAAUAAGCAAUGGGCAGAUUUUCUUGCUCAGAAUUUGCACAUACAAGAGACACUUUGAAGUACUCAGGUGGACCUGUUUACCUGAAAGGACUACACUCUUUCAAAAGAGACACUUUGUGUUGAUGUAGAUGUUGACACAGCAUGCUGGCACCAGGUUGGCGAAGGCCACUCCAGAUGAUUUCCCCAAUGCUACUCUCUGCUUUGAAAGUUCAGGGUCCUGGGCAGUGAUUCUGGUAAAGCUCUGAACUUCUACUUUCAGAGGCUUGGAAUGAUCAGAAAACAGUGCUAACUCUAAUGAAUAAAAACAGCAUGAAAGGCUUUUAAUUUUGCUUGGGCCAAAAAUUCUGAACCCCAAGAAAGUUUCUUUGGCAAAACAUUGUUGCUAGUUCACAAAUAUACCUGUUUCUAUAGGAUCUUACAUUUAAAAUUAAGAAAGCCUUCACAGUUCUAAAGACAAAGGUUCCAAUUUUGUUCAGGCCUUCUAGCUUUGGAAAAAGCAUCUACACUUUUAAAUAUUUAUUCACAAUUUACCCUGACAGCUAGAAAUGUGAUUUUUAAAGCCAGCAACUCAACUGAAUACAACUCUUGAGUUCCUAUGUGUGUAUGGAACAUACUAACACUCAAUUCAUGCUAUCCUUUCAAAUCAUAGUGUUGUGGAACUAUUCACACAAACUAUCUCUUCACAGGAAAAUGAAAGUUGUUUUUUUUUUUAAAGCAUCCCUUACUAUAUUAGAAUUAUGAAAAAGAUCCUAGAUUGCAUUGUGUGAUUUGUGAUCUAGAUUUUUUAAUCCUAGGCAUUUUUCCUACAAUAUGCUUUGCAGCAUGUACACAUGAAUAAUUUUCAUCCCUGCCCAUUCCUCUCUUUAUUAGUAAUCCCACUGAGCCCUCUUUGUCCCUCUUCAUUCUACAUUUCCACCCCCCACUGUCUUGCUCUUUUCAAAUGUAAUCAUUAAUAUCAGAAAAUUAACUGAUUCAAAUGAGCGCAAUUGUCUGUGCUUUGAAUAUUCCCAGGGUUGCAUCCAGGGGUGGCACUCACACAUCUCAUUUGCAUCUCAGAGAAAUGGGCUCAUCCGGUUAAAUGUUAUGUUAAAUGCACCACCUUCUGAUAUGUGUGAAGCAAUGUAUUAAUAAACUGGGUAAUUGUCAAUUAGACAUUCUAGAGGCAUUUCGUUCACAAUGGAGAGAACUGCAAAUUUUCUUCUGGUGGAAGGCAGCACAGAUCUGAAGUCCAAGAAGCUGCCCCCAUUUUAACAGUGUGGCUGACAACACUAUCCUAUACACAUCUACUCAGAAGUAAGUCACUUGAGUUCCAUUGGGUGUACUCCUAAGACAGUGAAUAUAGGAUUAGAGCCUUAGUAGACAGAGUAGUCAAACCUCUGUUCAACAAUGCUAUCAAACCUCUGUUCAACAAUGCAGGUGAUAAGUCCCUAACUCUCACCCUAACUCAACUCGGAGAGAUGCAAAGAAGCAGGGAUAUCAUGUAUGCCAUUUACAGCUCCUUGUAGGAUGGAAGAUAUCAAAGUGUAAUAAGUAGUAUUGGCAGAUACUUUGGCUAAUUCCUGUUCUGCUCAGAAAAGCCCCAGAUUUUUUGUUUUUGUUUCCAACCUUGUGAAUGCUGUGGACUUUCAUCUAAAUUUGCAAAAAGAAAAAGAAAGAAAGAAAGAAAGAAAGAAAGAAAGAAAGAAAGAAAGAAUUUGAGGAAUGAAAACAUAUAUCAGGGAACACCUUGAAUUAAAUAUACAUUUAGAAAUCUUCACAGACCUAUGUAGCAUCUAUUUACUUGCAGCUAUUAUAGCCAAUGGCAUGUUAGCAUGCUGCCUAUAGUGCAUAUGCAUUAUAGACUGAGCCCCUGUCCAACACAGAGUUGAGUGUACCUUGACCCACUGAAUUCAAGUACAGUUAAUUCUGCAUUGGAUUGUAUUCAGGAUGUCUACUCAUGGCCUGCUCUCUGAAUGUCAGUGCUGAGCCAUAGCCAUUGAGUGGGUGCUUAUGUCUAAGUGUCAGAGCCUGAGAAUAAGCGGUCUGAAUUGGUCAGGGCUAUUGUUCUCCAUGCAAAAUCUGAGAGUGAACAGGAAACCUUUAUAGGCAUUCAUGUUGAGCAGAGGCUAGCCAAUUGUCAGCCUUGGUGUGCAGAGUCAUUCUGGUACCUGGGGUGCUACAGGGCCUUCCCUAUAGGUCACCAGAUGGGGGAACUGGGCACAGAGCUGUGGCUUCUAUUGCGGCUUCUGACAGCCCUAAAAAAGGAGAGGUGGCAUGCAUUUUGUAACAAAUGGGGGACGAGGGCUUGCCUUUAUCUGGUCUUGGCAACCGGCUCCUCUUUGUGGGAUGUAACAUCACUGAAGCAGUCAAAUACAACAUUUCCUGUUUGCCCAGAGUGUACACACUGGGGAAUGUUGCUCCAGCCAGGAGGAAUUCCUGUCACGCCUGGUCUGGAGCAUUCUCCCCCUGCGUGUAACCAGGUAGAUGGGUGUGACCCUGGCAGACCAUACAAAAGGGCCAGUCAUGCAGCCCUCUCUCUCUCUUGAUCCCUUCUCUCUAUUUUGCCUUUUGCUGUCCGCUGGCUCUCAACCAGCAGCACAUGGGCUCAUCCCUCACAGAGGAUGAACCCACACUUUUCUCUGUAACUACAAGCUAAAGCCUGCCUUCAGGACCAUACUGUGAACUGAAUGUAAGUAAACCUUAUCAUUACUUUUAGAAGAAGACUAUUGUGCCGUUAUUGUUUUUAAGAGGGAACUAAAGGGGAUUUACCAGGACCAAGCCAAUCUGGACAAGCCAGACUGAAUUGCUUAACUCAAAUGAUUCUCCUGAAUCCAUCAACUAGCUUCCUGCAGUGUACAAAGGAAUGUGCUCUGCUACUAGCUCACUAACUUGAGCGAGGAAUGAUAAUAUUUAAUCAAUAUAUCCUCUCCUACUAUCCUCAACAUUCCCACACUCUUGACCACUGGUUUAUUUUUACAGAGUACCCUGAAUGUUUCGUUAUCCCAAAGCAUUCUUGAGGGUGAGUGGGGAAUGUCAGCCUCUACAAAAAAACAUACCAUCCCAAUCAUCACCCAGAAUGCCCUGGAAAGAUGCAGUGACCAAGACAUUUGGGGAAGAUAAAAUGGUGACUGUGAGGAAGCAGCAGUCAAAAGGAUCUCUGGUGCCACAAUCAGCAGCAAAAAACAAAACCCAUGAAUAUGGAUAACAAAUAAAUGAAAUGAAUGAA